GGCAAAAGAAAGCAGCAACUCAACUCUCUUUAAAGGCUAUGGAGGUUCUCUUGCGACCUCUCUUCAGCAUACCCUCCAGAACAUUAACCCCACCACCGCCAUCACCACCCCCACCAAUCAUCUCACUCUCAAAACUCUCCAUUUUUGCCUCCACUAAUUCCCACUCUCUCCAAAACCCUUCUUUCUGUUAGGGAAAAAUUAGGUUUUUAAAUUUUUAUAAAACCUUUUGAAGAUCGCUCUCAUAUAAUAUAUAAAAAUUUGUAUUCUAGAAAUCGUACCUUGAAAAACCGAGUUGACUUUUUCCGCUGAAGUGAUUUAGGCUCCUAGAUCACGAUCCGCCACCACCACUCCUGUUAGAUCACGAUCUGUCACCACCACGCUUGUUAGAUCACGAUAUGUCACCAAUGAUCUUCCAGGUUAUGACUCAGGUUCGAUCUGCACUUGACGUGUGGGCGCCUUUAUCACUACCAAAGCAACUAGCACGAGAAAAUUUUUCUCUCAACAAUAGAGAGAAAAAUCUUAUUCUCUGAUCUGUAUAAAGUGGCUUUUCUUUUUUUUUUUUUAAGAAAAUAAGCCUUAUAUAUCUCCCUUUAGUGAAAACCCUAGGCUCCAAAUAAUGCCCUAAAUAAAACUCACGUUACUUUUCAUUUAAUAGGAGACCCACCAUGUAAAAUAACAUAAGGCCCAUUACACAUAAGCUAAUUAAAUGGAGCCUCCCACUAAAUGAUAUAUUUAGGCUUUUGACCCAAAUAGCUAGUUAUCUUGCUUAUUAGUCCAGUAGUGGUGCAGUCAAUUAAAUGAGCUAACCCGGGGAUUAUUGGGAACAUACAAUAGUGGCUAUAACAAUUAAGUCUGUAAUUAAACUAGCCUAAUUAUUUAAUUCCAAAUCUACUCCACUAAAAGAUUGGAACUGACUUCCAUAAUUGUAUGCUCGAAUAAUAAUUCGUCCCAAGCCACAUUGAUUUCUUUACUGCACAAUCUUUUGUACCACAUCGUUAAUUAAAUUGAUAUCUCAACUGUCCAAUCAAUUUAAUAACAUCUUAUUCCUUGAUCCUUACUGGUUUUCUCUAAUGAUCAUUUUCAACAUACUAAAUAGUUGACACACUCUGGCCAGAGAAUUCUAUGAUCAAAGUACCGAAAACCUAUCAAGAGAUGUGUUGUACAAAUUCUAUAUUGUUAAUCCAUAACUCCAAUACUCAUAAUUGCUCCCACCAAGAUACCGGGUAAUCUUGACCACAAGGAUGUGUCGUGCCCAUUGGUAACUCAAAUGAAAAUAACAAUUACAAUCAUGAAAUCAUAAUUAACUCAAGAUUAAGAUUACAGUAAAAUCAACGCCUAUGAGAUUUAAUAAGUCUGACAGUUAUUACAAAGUUAAUUAAAUCUCAUAUGUGAUCCUGUUCAAUGUAGUCGUACUACAUCAAUAAAUUCAUACAUGAUUAAGACAAAUCAUUCAAUGAAUUUAUUACAGUCUAUACCUAAAUAAAGUGCCCAACUUUAUUUAUCAACUGCGAACUAAAUUUAUUUAAUCAUAAGAUAACUUGUAUUUAUGUCUUCUGUGAAUCCACAUGGUGAUCACAUAAAUACAUAUAAUAUGAUUAAAUGGACUUUAAUACAAAUAUUAAUGCAAUUAAGAUAUUUGAAUAAAAUACCUCAUUUAUUUUAUUAAUCAGAAAAAUUGUUUAUUACAAUUAAAUAAACACAUAUGCUUUUAAAGAGCAUAAUUUCCCAACAAUCUCCCACUAGCUCUCAAAGCAUAUCUGGCAUAUUGCACAUGCUCUAGGGCUCUAAGUGCAGGUUAUAAAGGUUUCCACUAAUGGCCAUUGUAAUAAGAUCUGCCAUUUAGCAUCUAAUGCCAUUUGGGGUACUGUCAUAUAACCUUUCUACACUAUUCCCUUAAUGAUACUUCCUGUCAGUAUGUUUUGUUUCUUUUGGUUCCUUAGAUUGAGCUACUGCACCACCAUUAUCACAAAAUAGUUUAAGGGGUGCAGUUACAGCAGGCACCACCUCAAGAUCUUGUAGGAACUUGCGGAGCCUAUAUAGCUUCUUUUGCAACUUCAGAUGUAGCCACAUAUUCAGCUUCAGUUGUGGAGUCUGUGAUACAAGAUUGUUUCACACUCAUCCAACUAAUAGCUCCACUUCCUAAUGUAAACACAUAGCCGGACGUUGAUUUUCUAAAAUCCUUAUCUGACAAAAAAUCAGAAUUAGUAUAACCCACUAGAAUAAGUUCAUCACCAGAAUACACAAGCAUAUAAUUUUUAGUUCUUUUCAGAUACUUUAUAAUAUGCUUGACUGCAGUCCAGUAUUGAGGUCCAGGAUUAAAUUUAUAUCUGCUAACCAUCCCUACCGCAAAAUAGAUGUCUGGCGUAGUGCAAAGCAUGACAUACAUGAGACUUCCCACAGCUUCUGCAUAGGGAACUCGUCUCAUUCUCUUUAUCUCUUCAGAUGUUUUAGGUGAUUGAUCCUUAGAGAAUGUAAUUCCAUGUCUGAAUGGUAAUAAACCAGUCUUGGAAUUUUCCAUGCUAAAUCUAGCCAAUAUCUUAUCGAUAUAGACCGCUUGAGACAAGGCUGAAGUUUUAUUCUUCCGGUCUCGUAGUAACUUGAUACCAAGAAUAUAACUUAUCUCUCCCAGGUCUUUCAUAUCAAAUUAUUUUGCUAACCCGAUCUUUAUUAUAGUCAAUACUCCUAUAUCGUUUCCAAUCAGGAGAAUAUUGUCUACACAAAGAACUAGGAAGGCUACAAAUUUUCCCUGAAUUUUCUUGUACACACAUGGUUCAUCAAUGUUCAGAAUGAAUCCAAGUGAUUUAAUCGCUUGAUCAAAUCUGAUGUUCCAUGACCGGGAUGCUUGCUUCAAUCCAUAAAUGGAUCUCUGUAACUUACAUACCAUGUGUUCUUGGCAUUUUUUGUAUAAAUCCAUCUGGUUGCUGCAUGUAGAUGUUUUCUUCAAGAUGCCUGUUAAGAAAGGCAGUCUUGACAUCCAUUUGCCAAAUUUCAUAAUUUAGCACUGCAGCAAUGGAAAGCAGAAUCCUGAUGGAUUUAAGCAUAGCAACCGGAGAAAAUGUUUCCUCAUAAUUGAUUCCUUCUUUCUGAGUAAACCCUUCGGCUACUAAUCUUGCUUUAAAUAUUUCCACCCUUCCGUCUACUCCUCCUUUUCUCUUGUAGAUCCACUUGCACCCUAUAGGUUUUACCUCAUUUGGUGCCUCUACAAGUUCCCAGACUUUAUUGGAAUACAUAGAUUCCAUUUCUUGAUUCAUGGCCUUUUUUAAAAUUCAACAUCUCUAUCUAUUAGAGCUUCGUUGUAACUAGUGGGAUCUUAUACAUGUUCAUAUGAGAUAGCCGUAUAGGUUUCUCCCAAAAGCAUGUAUCUCGCAGGUAACCUAGUUACCCUCCCACUACGACGAGGUUCUAAAAGUGAUGGUUGUUCAAGGAUAAUCUUGUGCUGAUCAGCUGGUUGUUGCUGUUCUUCCUGUUCUAUAACAGGUGUUGAAAGCUUAGCAUCAACCUGAUCUCUUUUAUUUCUCUAGUUUUACCUUACUCUUAGGUUAUAAGUCAUUAUAUAGUCUUCCUCAAAGAAAGUAAAUAAUAUUUCUAUAAAUACAUUCUUAUCUUGAGGACUAUAAUUCAGACUUUCCCUUAUUCCUUUAAGAUACCUAAAACAUGCAAGCUUCUGAACACGAAUCCAUCUUCUCUAUCUCUGAUUCUAGUAGAAAUACUAGUAAACUCCAAAUACGAAUGUGUCUCAAACCAUGUUUGUGACUUUUUCAUAAUUUCUUGGAGUAGUAGACACCGAGAUAGAUGAAACUAAGUUCAACAAAACUUUGUAGUUUCAAAUACUAGUAUCUGGAAUCAAAAAGGUAAAUGAUAAACCACUUAGUAUAUAUAUUGUCUUAUCCAAAAGAAUCUUGUUUCUCCAUUUAAUUACACUAUUGUAUCAUAGUGUUCAUUGAUAACCAAAUAGUGCUUGAAUUCUCCAUAGAGAUAUUCUUUGUUUCGAUCAUAUCAAAGUUCUUUUAUGUUCCUGUCUAAUUGCUUCUGUCUUAUCCACGUACUCUUUUGAAUUUCAAAAGCAAUUGAAUCUUGACGCAUUUAGACAAACAUAAAUAAAAUGAAUAUUCAUCAACAAGAUUGAUAGAAUACUCAUAACCUCUUAUAACAUGUAAACUGAUUAGUCCAUAUAUAUUUGUAUGCGCUAAAUCAUCAAAUACAAUGUUAUGUUUUUAGCUCAAAAAAGAGCAUCCUUGUCAUAUUACUUUUCUAAAUAAGAUUUAUAGAGUUACAAUGAUCAAUCUUAAUAGGCCAACAAGUCUAUCAUUAAUCAUUGUCUUAAAAUCUUAUUAUAGUUUAUAUGACUUAAGCAUAAAUAUCAGAGGUGAUUUUUGGUUAGAAGAAACAUUUCUUUUCUUAGAUAAAUGCAUAUACUUUUUAUCAUUAUAUCUUACUUUGAAUAGAUCAAUGUACUUCUAUGAUAUAAAUUGUCUUUAUAAAUAACCAAAAUAAGUAAUAAACAGAGGAUCCAUAAAUAACAGUGUACUCCUGUUUAUUAAAACAAGCCACCGAAAUUAAAUUCCUCUAAUAUUUGGAAAAAUAAAGACAAAUAUCAAAACUAAAGUCUUGUAAAAUUGAUCUAGUCUUUCAAUUGAUAUAAACUAACACGUCCUCAACUGCUGUUUGAAGCUUUCUUCACUUAAUCUCUUGGUUUCCUGAAAACCAAAUAAAUGAAUUACAAAUAAGAUUAGUUAUCUCAGAAUUCAUUAUUGUAUGAAUCAAUAGAAAUCUGAACUAAUUAGGAAGCUUAAAGAUUUCCUAUACCUGAUUUUAAUAAUCUUAGGACAAUCUUUCUUCCAGUGACCCUUAUGUCCACAUUUGUAACACUUGCCUUUUGGCUUGUCACUUCUUUUAGUGGACAGUUUGCCGAUCCCAACUCUUGCUUGCUCAUUCUUGUCUUUCGACUUAAGCCUUGAAGAGAAUCCUUUUUCAGGAAGUUUUCUGCUAUUAUAAAAUUCUUCUAUAGCAUGUAGUUCGUGCAUUAAUUCAAUUACCGUCAUAUCUUUAUUGUUUAAGAUAUAACUGACCUUAAACUCUUUGAAUGUAUCAGGUAAAGAUUCAAUCAACAUGUUAAUCUUUGAUUUAUCAUUGAUUUGAACACCAUGAAUCUCUACCUCAUUCAAAUAGUCCAUCAUUUUGAGGACAUGAUCACGAACUUUUGUGCCCUCUUCCAUCUUAGUAUCCGUAAUACGUUUUAAUACUGCUUCUCUGGCAAAAUGGGUAUUUUGCCCAAACAUCUGAUGAAGACUAGCCAUAAUUUCAGUGGCUGUUUCCAUGCUCCGAUGUUUCUUAUGCAGUUCCACAGAAAUCGAAGCCAAUAUAUAGCGCUUAGCCAUUUUGUUAGCUUCGCACCAUUUCUCAUAAGGCUCCCUAUGAUUUCUAUAAUCGUAUAACGAUGGUUCAGGAGGGCAAGGCUGGGUCAACACAUAUUUGUUUCCCUUAGCAGUGAGAAUAUUAAAUAGAUUGCGUUUCCAAUCUAAAUAAUUUUCGCCAGUGAGUUCAUUUUUAACAAGGAUAAUUAAUAAUGGGUUGAUGGAAGACAUUUUCUGAAAAAACAAAAUACACAUGCAUAAAUACUUUGAAACAAUAUUCACAAUAAAUGACAAAAAUGCAAAAAACCAUAAAUGCAUUUUAAUUUAUUGUAAUGAUAAUCUAGUACCGCUUUGACAAGCUAUCCGUUGGGGAAGUCAUGUCUACACUUACUAGACCCAAUUAUCCAUUAGAUUAUUUACUUUCAUGUAGAGACAUGAUAAAUAAUUAUCGUUAUCCCUUUGGGCCUAAAUUUGUUAACAGAGCUUCGUUGGGAAGGUUAAUAACAAACUUUAGUUGAGUGUAUAACCAUUGUUUCAAUCUACGUAUUUUUCAUAUCAAUAGUCACCGUUGGGGUGAACAAUCGAUUGAAAAAUAUUUCGAUUUUAUCUUUGAAGAAGUUCAUCAAAUAAAAUAUCUAAUAUAUAUACCCUCCGAAGGGAGCAUCACCGUAUCAUGAAGUCGAGGUAUAUAUAUAAUUUUAUUAUUGAACUAACAAUGGAGCCCGUGGGAAAAAUUAUCUUGAAUUUUCCCUCUCCCACUCAAUAUUAUAAAAUUGGUUUUUCCUUUUAAAACAUACAUAUUGUUAAUUGCAUGCUUCCUAUAACAUUAUCUAGAUGAUGUCCAAUAUUAUUAAGCAUAGGCAAAUUUCAAACAAUAUAAUGAAAUUCAUAAUUAAUGAAUGACAUGUAUCAUUAUGCAUAGAGUGGCACUACCUAUUUUAUAUGACAUGUUAUCAUGGCAUGUUAUCAUCCAAAACAUAACAUAUAGAAAAAAACAAUUAAAUAAUCUUAAUUCAUGGCUUUCCUAAUAAUGAAAAAAUACAUUAACCCUAAACCUAAUCUUCAUUGGGCUUCUUGUAAAUCUCCAUCUUCCAUAAUCUUGUUUUUGUUAAUGGACUAUGAGAAAUUGGGCUUUUAAAUUUAUAAUCGGUCUAAUUUUAAUUUGGAAAGAAAAUAAAUAAAUAAUUAAAAUAAAAAUUUAUUAAAAUAAAACUUUUGGACCAAAAAUAAAUUUAAUAUAUUCAAUUUUAUCUAUGCAUUUUAAUCCAUUAAGCCCAAUUGAAAUUGGGCCUAAAACUAGGAUACAUUAAGCCCAAAACUAUUUUUGGAUUUAAACGCAAAAAAUUGAAACAUUUCUGCCUGAAGGAAAACUUAUGAAACCAUAGGGACCUUCAUGAUAAAAACCAUAAAACCCUAAAAUCAUAUUUUUCUUUCUUUCUUCCCCAGCCGCCAUCUCCACAAAGCAGUCACUGUUCAUCCAAGUCCGACACCGAUUUAGCUGCCGCCGUCAAGCCGGAAACGUACCAAACACCUCCCUCGCGCUGCACGGAAAGCUCCUGCUCGCGCUGCCUGCUACGUGUGCUGGCUGUUGCAUGCGAGCGUGCGCUAGCUGCUGCACGCACAGCGUGCGUUGCUGGCUGCGCGAGCAGCACGCGCUGGCUGCUGGCUUGCAGCGCGCGCUGCGGGCAGCGUGUGCUGUGAGCCGCGCGCUGCUGCCGCUGCGAGUGCAGCGUGCGCUUGCUGGCAGCAUGUGCUGCUGGACGCGCGCUACUUGCUGCUGGUUGCCGCUGUCAAAAUUUCCGGCCUCCGUCGCUUUGAUCUUGAAAAUCCGAGAUUAAUUUACAAAUUUCCUAGGCCAAUUUUUGGCUUACAAAAAUUCUAUAACAGUAAAAUAAAUCAAGAGGGAAACAUGAUGAUAAAAAAUCACCCCUCUUGUUACAGAUCCAAAGAAAAAAUACAACGAAAAAUAUAACCAUGAAUUAAGACAAACCAUAAACAUGCUUUAUUCAUAUAUUAAAUAAAUAAUAUACAUCUGAAUAAAUUGUGCCACUCUAAUACAUAAAUUUCAAGAAUGAUUUCAUACGAAAUUCUUAUAUAUUAAUAUGAGAUGUCUCUGAUACCAAUUGUUGGGGAAAAAUUAGGUUUUUAAAUUUUUAUAAAACCUUUUGAAGAUCGCUCUCAUAUAAUAUAUAAGAAUUUGUAUUCUAGAAAUCGUAACUUGAAAAACCGAGUUGGCUUUUUCCGCUGAAGUGAUUUAGGCUCCUAGAUCACGAUCCGCCACCACCACUCCUGUUAGAUCACGAUCUAUCACCACCACGCUUGUUAGAUCACGAUCUGUCACCAAUGAUCUUCCAGGUUAUGACUCAGGUUCGAUCUGCACUUGACGUGUGGGCGCCUUUAUCACUACCAAAGCAACUAGCACGAGAAAAUUUUUCUCUCAACAAUAGAGAGAAAAAUCUUAUUCUCUGAUCUGUAUAAAGUGACUUUUCUUUUUCUUUUAAGAAAAUAAGCCUUAUAUAUCUCCCUUUAGUGAAAACCCUAGGCUCCAAAUAAUGCCCUAAAUAAAACUCACGUUACUUUUCAUUUAAUAGGGGACCCACCAUGUAAAAUAACAUAAGGUCCCUUACACAUAAGCUAAUUAAAUGGAGCCUCCCACUAAAUGAUAUAUUUAGGCUUUUGACCCAAACAGCUAGUUAUCUUGCUUAUUAGUCCAGUAGUGGUGCAGUCAAUUAAAUGAGCUAACCCGGGGAUUAUUUGGGAACAUACAAUAGUAGCUAUAACAAUUAGGUCUGUAAUUAAACUAGCCUAAUUAUUUAAUUCCAAAUCUACUCCACUAAAAGAUUGGAACUGACUUCCAUAAUUGUAUGCUCAAAUAAUAAUUCGCCCCAAGCCACAUUGAUUUCUUUACUGCACAAUCCUUUGUACCACAUCGUUAAUUAAAUUGAUAUCUCAACUGUCCAAUCAAUUUAAUAACAUCUUAUUCCUUUAUCCUUACUGGUUUUCUCUAAUGAUCAUUUUCAACAUACUAAAUAGUUGACACACUCUGGCCAGAGAAUUCUAUGAUCAAGUACCGAAAACCUAUCAAGAGAUGUGUUGUACAAAUUCUAUAUUGUUAAUCCAUAACUCCAAUACUCAUAAUUGCUCCCACCAAGAUACCGGAUAAUCUUGACCACAAGGAUGUGUCGUGCCCAUUGGUAACUCAAAUGAAAUAACAAUUACAAUCAUGAAAUCAUAAUUAACUCAAGAUUAAGAUUACAGUAAAAUCAACGCCUAUGAGAUUUAAUAAGUCUGACAGUUAUUACAAAGUUAAUUAAAUCUCAUAUGUGAUCCUGUUCAAUGUAGUCGUACUACAUCAAUAAAUUCAUACAUGAUUAAGACAAAUCAUUCAAUGAAUUUAUUACAGUCUAUACUUAAAUAAAGUGCCCAACUUAAUUUAUCAACUGCGAACUAAAUUUAUUUAAUCAUAAGAUAACUUGUGUUUAUGUCUUCUGUGAAUCCACAUGGUGAUCACAUAAAUACAUAUAAUAUGAUUAAAUGGACUUUAAUACAAAUAUUAAUGCAAUUAAGAUAUUUGAAUAAAAUACCUCAUUUAUUUUAUUAAUCAGAAAAAUUGUUUAUUACAAUUAAAUAAACACAUAUGCUUUUAAAGAGCAUAAUUUCCCAACACUUUCUUCCUCUUCUCGUUUCCUCUCGCCUGCCCCUGGUACGCCAAUUUCCAUUCUCUGGCUUUUAUUUUGGUAAUUUAUCUUUAAUUUUUGUGGGUAUCCUUCGUUUUUUUAGUUAUCAUACAUGAGUUGAGUAGUCGUAGACGAUUUUUUAUUGUUUUAAACUGAACGAAUUCUUUGUAUUUCGAAAAUGAAAUUCAUUGUUUGUGAUGUAACUUUUAAAACUGUUGAUUUGAGUUUGAAAAAUUAAUAUGCUUAAAUUUGUCUAUGUGGAUUUGAAUCAGUUAGACAAGCAGCACAGGAGAGCCAAUCGAGCGCGGAGGUGAUGCCAAUUUUAUUUCUAUAUUAAUUUAUUAGAUUAUGUAAUGUUAUAAAUUCUUUGUUCAAAAUGUAGAGCUUGGAAAUUUAGUCGAUACAUUAUGGUAAUGAAUGUAGCUUGUGUAUCUGUUCAAAUUUAUGUCUAGCUUUGCUGUUUUGGUAAUGGUUUGUUUAGUAUAAAUUGUGUUGGUUAUGAUGUUGUUUAGUGGUUUGGAUCACUCGUGCUCUUUUGGCCCCCACUAAAAUUAAUUUUUCAUCAAAUGAUAUGAAUAGUUGUUCGAUGGAAACUUAAUGGAAGAUGUGGGAGCAUCUUUAUGAGUUAAGAUUCCCUGUAGCUGAGUAUAUCCUUUGGUGCAUAAGAGUUUAAGUGAUUAUCGUCAUUGUUGAGUUAAACAAUGGGAUUAAUUUUCAUGUUCAUGUAAGGUGAUCAUCACUAAAGUUAGAGCCAUUAGGUGAUAAAUUGGUAAUUCAUUGUGUUGUUAUGUUUGUUAUACUGGGUAAAAAUCCCAGUGAUAGAAUUCAUGUUAAGCGGUUUUGGGUCUCAUUCAAUCCCAAAAGAUGGAUAAGGGGUGAGGCUUUCCCUCACACUUGUAAAAUCACCACCAUCCUAGUUCACAACCGAUAUAAGACAACCCAACAAUCUCUCCCUCACAUAUUGGGCCUUGGUUCAAAAGCAUGGACACUCAUUUUCGCUAGUAGACUGUUGGACUGAGAUGUUGAUGAAUCUUUUAGUUGAUUUUUUUUUUUUAUAAAAAGGAAAAGAUUAUGAAGAGAUAAAUACAAUAAAGAAAAAAAGAGAUCAAUAUUGCAAUAAAACAUUCAUGUAGUGAUAUUUUAUAUAAGAAUAAUUUCAUAUAGCUAUAAAAGUAAUGGUCCUAAUUUAUAUUAGGCCAAUUAUAAAUAAGAAUAAAUUUCAUGCUGUAAUAAUUUAUAAUUUUGCUAAAUCUCACCUUAAGGAGCUCACCUCCACGUAGUGUAUAUAUAUAUAUAGAAAAAAAAACGUAUGUUAUAUUACAUUAAGUGAACUUGGGGGUUGUUUAGUACCCCUCUUUAUCUGGGAUUGCAUUGUGUUAGCAAUGCAACCCCAUGUUUGGGGUACCAAAUGGCUAUAUUAGCUAAACUCCACAUAUAGUCGAGUUUAGCUAAUGCGUCCAGUUACCGCAUUAGCUUUAGCUUCCUCUUUUUUUUUUUUUUUUUAUACUUUGUAAUAAUGAUAAAUGAAUAUAAUUUUUAAUUUAAUAUUAUAUAAUAUUAUUUUUACAUUAUAAUUUUAAUAUAAAUUAAUAAAUUUAUUGUUUAAUAAUAUUAUAUUAUAUUUUAAUUUUUAUCAUAGUAAAUGUACAACUAAAAAAUGUAUUAUUUAAUUAUAUUACAUUAAUUAAUAUGUAAAAUUAUAUUAAUUAAUAUAUAUAAUUGAUUAAUUUUUAAUAAGUUAAUAUAACUAAUAAUAAAUACUUAAAUAAUAUAAUAUAAUAUAAUAUUAUUUAAUUUAUUAAAAUAAUUAAACUAGUUAUUUUUAAAUAAUUUAAUAUAACUAAUAAUAAAUAUUUAAAUUUGAAUAAAUUUGAAUAAUAUUAAUUAAAAAUUAAUAAAAUAUAUAAUUAUUAGAUUGUUUAGCACAAUUCAUUAGUAUUUUCUAAAUAUAUAAUUUAAAUUAGUCACAAAAAAUUAAUACAAUAUAGUGCAAUAUCAAAUAUAAUAUAAUUAAAAAUUAAUACAAUACAGUAUAGUACCAAACAUUAUACAACAUUAUUAUAAUACAUUACUAAUACAACACAACAUAAUGCAAUACACUUGCAUUAAAAUAAUGCAAUACAAUAUAAUAUAAUACAGCGUGCCAAACGCACUCUUGUAUCCAUAUAGUACAAAAACAACAUAAGAGAAAAAUGUUAAAGAGAACACAAAAGUUCAGAGACUUUUAAGAUAAUGUUUUAUAUUUGUAACAAGCAUGUGCUAACUUUUUUGAAACCAUGUAUAUUUAUUUUUUCCCUAAGUUACAUGCAUGUAACUUAGCAUUAGCCUCAUUUUAUUAUUAUCUAUACAUUGGAUUUGACAUGUUUCAUUAAUAAUUUAUUACUACAUCUCUAUUAAAAUAAUUGAGGUCCUGCACUUUCAUUGGAAGAUAGGAGAAAAAAAUAAUUGAUAAGAGAAGAAAACAAUUUAAAAUAAAAUUUUAAAAUAUUUAUCAUUACUUAAAAAAAUUAAUUUUCUUUUCCUAAAGUUAUUCCACAGACGGUAGUACAAAAUUAUGUGAUCACGCACGCACACAGUGAUAGGGUAAUUAUUGAAACAAAAAUGAAAUUUGUCUGUUUUCCAUUUGAAAUCUAUUACUAAUAUAAAGGAAAAGAAAAAUCUUUAAUUACUUUUUUUUUUUUUUUUCAUGUAGGGCAAGGCAAACAUCACUAUCUUGUUAAAUUAAUAUUUAAAAUUAUCCCACCAAAUGUAAUUAUAACAAAUUAAAUAAAUAUUUACUAUGAGUUCAGCAUCUGGGUUCCCACUCCAUAAAUAUGCCAGCAUUUUAAAACAAACAAGACUUAAGCGACAAAUACAAUUUUGUCAACGAGUAUAAAGGUCGCAUUAUAAGCCAAAGGAGAGCAGUUAAGGGAAGAUAAAAUAUUAUUGUAUUGAACUGGUUAUUUCUCUCUAGGGGUGGCAAAAAAGUCUGGGCUGGUUCAGGCCCGCGGGCCUAAAGCCCGGCCCGUAAGGGUGGGCCCAGAUAUUGGCCUAAAAAUUACAAAGCCCACAUAUGUGGGAUCUGGACAAGGGCUUAGCAAAAAAACCCGGACUUGGCCCGGGCUUUUUAAAUUUAUGAAUAAAAAAUAAAUUUAAUUUAAAUAAAAAAAGAAAAAACUCAAAAUAUUAAAUUAGUUUAAUUUUUUAUAUUAGUAUUUGUUAUUUUAUUAGGUUGUAUUAUUAAUAUUUUAUGUAUUGGACUAUUAUUCUAUUUAUAUAUUAGAUGAUUAUCUUUAAUUUGAAUUUUUUCUUAAUUUAAAAAAUAUUUUAUAAUUAAUUUAAAAAGCCCAAGCCCGGCCCGAGUUCGGUCCGUCCAAAUUUAAACAGGUUUUUAAAGGGCCUGGACUUCGUUUGAAUGAUGUGGGCUUGGGCCUGGGCUUUGAAAAGCCCGGCCUAAACCCGCAAAUUGCCAUCCCUAUUUCUCUCUCUUCUAUUAUUAAUUUGUUGUUAAUUAUAACCUUUGCGGGAUUUAAAAAAAAAAAGAAAAAGGCCCUUGCGUUUUCAUCAACAUUACACUGCCAAAUGUGAAAUGGAUUGAGAACCACAUGUCCUUAUUAUGCUGCCACUCCACAAAUGUUUAUUUUCCCCUCAUUCUCCUUAGAAGCCAGAGGCAGAGUCAGUCCUGUACCCCUUUACGUAUGCCUUGGACAAUAAGGCCUCCAUAAAUUAACAUAAACGAUCAGUAGAAGUAGAGCUGGCAAAAUGGGUAAUCGGGUCGUGUUUGUGUCGUGUCAAAUUUAGAUCGACUCAUACCCGACCUAUUUAAUAAUCGUGUCAAAAUAUUGAGACCCAAACCCGACACAGAAAAAUAAUCGGGUUACCUAAUAACCCGCUUAAUAUCUAUAUAUUAAACAAAAAUUACAUCAAAUAUUUACACAUUAUCAUACAUGCGUAUGCGCAUACAUACAUACAUCCAUACAUACAUACAUAAUUUAUCGAUAUUAUAAAAUAUGCAUAUCUACUAAAAUAUUACACACACUAUUGAGGUUUUAAUUAUAUAUAUGUAAAUAAUAUUAUAUAUUAAUAUUAUAAAAUAUAUAUGUCUACAAAUAUUUUAUACAGUUAUACUAUUAAAGCUCUAAAUGUAUUUAAAAGUUUAUAAAUAAAAUAUUGUGUCUAUAUUCAUCCUUUUAAAGAAUUAAAAAAAAAAGAAAAUCAUCUCUAAUAUUUGAAUUUUGAUGACAAGAAUUUACAAAUUAUUUUAAAAUAGAAAAUAUAAUUGGGUCAUUGAUCGGAUAAAUGGGUCAAGAAUUUUAACCCUAACCCGACACGGAAAAAAAUCGUAUUGACUCGGACCCGACCUAUUUAAUAAUCGUAUUAAAUUCGACGACCCAUACUCAUUUAUUAGUGUCGUAUUCGUGUCGGAUAAUCAGAUCGUGUCAAAUUCUGCCAAUUCUAAUUAGUACAAGAUGAUUUAACCACACAAUAUGUCAAAUUUACAUUUUGCAAUCAUUGAUACUUGGUGCUACAGUCAAAUUUAUAUUUAUUCAAGAUUGCGGGUUCAAUAAUUAAAUUCACAUAAAAAGAAAGAUGCAUUCACCCUUAAUGGCCCAGGAGCCAACCAAAUUCCGCGUCCGUGAAGUGAGGCACUUUUCUUAAAGUUAUUUCACAGACGGAAGUACAAAAUUCUGUGAUCAGGCACAAAGUGAUAGGGCAAUUAUUGAAACAUAAAUAAUGUCUAUUUCCCAUCCGAAAUCUGUUCUAAUAUAAAGGACAAGAAAAAGUUUUAAUUAUUAUUAUUAUUUUUCACGUAGGGCAAGGCAAACAUCACUAUCUUGUUAAAUUAACAUUUAAAAUUGUCCCACCAAAUAUAAUUAUAACAAAUUAAAUAAAUAUUUAUAUGAGUUCAGCAUCUGAGUUCCCACUCCAUAAAUAUGCCAGCAUUUUAAAACAAACAAGACUUAAGCGACAAAUACAAUUUUGUCAACGAGUGUAAAGGUCGCAUUAUAAGCCAAAGGAGAGCAGUUAAAAGGAAGAUAAAAUAUUACCGUAUUUAACUUGGUAUUUCUCUCUCUUCUACUAUUAGUUUGUUGUUAAUUAUAACCCUUUUCGGGAUUAAAAAAAGAAAAAGAAAAAGGCCUUUGCGUUUUCUAUUAGCAUGUUACAUGUUUAUUUUCUGUGUUAGUUGUGCAGAGUAUAUACUGAACACACUGGACAAAAAGGGUAAUUUGUAAUCAAUUCAUUUUUAUAAACAUAAAUAAAUAAAUAAAAUGAUGUCAAUAUAUUUGUGGAUGCCUGGCCUGGUGUUUUUUUUUUUUUUUGAAUACUGAUUAAUCAUCAUAUUACUGCAUUACACAGAUAUUUACAACUGCUAUUAUAGCAGAUAUAUUACACUGAUAUUUACAAUCAGAAAUACAUGAUUGAGACUUAUAUUAUUACAUUGAAUUCUGUGAAGUACAUGCCCAGACAAAUAAUCCCUUACAGAAGAGGGAUGUCCAUACUCCACUCGUAUUGCACGAGGGAGAGGAAAUUUUUGAAAUAUUAAACAAAUAAGCACGUUAGCCCCCACAAAUACUUUUGUGGGGGCUUGAACCACUGUCCUCACAAUGCUUGUGAGGGCAGCAGCCCACCACUCCGACCAAGGCCGAAGUGGCCCUGGCCUGGUGUUAAAAACAAUAAAUCGUGCUGAACGAGUUAGAUCUAAUUAACCUCGGAAGUAGUUACUGAACUUCAUGUGGAAAAGAAAAAAGAAAAAAAGAUAGUCGCUGAGCAAUAAAUCUACAAGUCAUCAAAAUCGUGCAAUUCUAUGGCAAGAAUUCUUUCCAGUGGGAGGAUUCUAAAACCAAGAAUUCACUGCUGAAAUUUUAUUAACUGAAAAUAGAUAACGAUUGACACAUCAGAAAAAAAGAACAAGAUGCAAUUAAAUCUAAUAAAAUUAAAAAAAAAAAAAAAAUUCAAACAUAUUAAAUCAUACUGAAACCGGGAGAGAAAGCAUUUUGGGUGGCUUGAUCCUCCCAUUGUAGCUCUUCCCACCAUUCUUUGGAUCCCUCGAUGACAACUCGACGUUCCUUCGCGCUGCUGGAAUUGAGUGGGAGCUUCUUCAGCUGUCGGCAUUCACGUACUUCAAUUUUCUUCAGCUUUGGAAAGGGCAGGGGAUUCGGGUAAACGCUCUUUAAAUUUAUUCCCCUCCAUACGGAUAGAGAUUCGAGUUGUGCGAAAAAGUUACGCUCUGACCCGAUUAUCCCUGAAAUAUCUCUCAAUUUAUCAACACUGACUAUUUCUUCCAUGUCUCCACAAAAUCCUAUAUAUAGCACCUUGAGGUUUUGAACAAAAACAAGCCACGUUAAGUCCUUCCCUCUGCAAGACCUUAGGACAACUGUGUUAAGACUGCGGAAACCAUUUCGAAAAAGUUUCUUUACCUCUUCUGGGCAGUCAAUCUUCAUCUCUUCCAAAUUACAGUAUUCAAGAUCUAACUCCUGAAGAUUCUCCAUGUAUGCUAGAUGUAAGACAUUGAACGGUGCACUUUCACAUUGGUAAACCCAUACAGAUUGCGUGAUGCUCACCAGCUUUGGAUAUUUCAAAAACUUUUGGACAGCAAGUGAACUUCGGAAGGUCCAGCUUAAAACAUUUAAACGCUUCAAACCCAGCAAUUCCUUCAUCAAAGGUUCAGCAUCAGCACAUAGAACGUUAGCUUCUUCUUCUUCUGUUACACUGCAACAACCGCACCCACGCAACCUGAGUACCUCCAAAUUUGAAAAGCCAGAUAUCAAUUGAUGUGGAAUUAUAGACAAAUUAAAUGCAUACUCCAAGUUCAAAUAUCUCAACUUCUCCAACGCCUUCAGCUCUUGCGGCAACCCAGUUAUGUCAGCCGAUGAUAGAUCAAGAUGAUGUAAUGAAACCAAACUUGAAAUCCCUGAAGGUAGUGUACUUAGGUGAAAAUUUUCACUGAGACUUAAUACUCUAAGAGACGACAUAGAUUGAAAGAAGCCGUCAGUGAUCUCCACAAUCGGAUUUUCAUCCACAAGUAAAGUUACGAGACGCGGACACGUGGGAAUUUCCGAUAGGCUUUCAAUUCCAUUUCCCAUCAGAGAUACCCGUUUGGCACCUUCCCAUUCUUCAAUCUUUGGUGCUUCGGUCAAUUUAACUCCAGCGCGAACCAGAAAGUUCUGCUCCUCCUUGUCUACCGUGCACGCUAUCCAUAAUGACAUCUCACGAAUCAUAUCGUGCAUCUUUACAUGAUCAUCGCCUUCUUCCUCCAAUAAGCAUGCUUGAAGAAGGUCAUCAAUAAAAUCGCAUCCAUCAUCAAAAUCAUAUACAAAUCCUUCACUAAUCCAGUAAUCAAUCAAUUCCCUUCUAGGAAUUUCGUAGUCUUCAGGAUAUAAACAACAAUACAGGAGACAGGAACGAAGUUCGUCCGUAGACAAACUAUCAUAGCUGAACUUUAAACGCGAAAACACCUCUUCUUUCAUACCUGAGAAUUUAGAAGCUGAUGUUGUCAUUUUGUGAAUUGCACGUUUCCAAUCUCCAACUUUCCUUUGGCUUUUCAUGGCUCGACCCACUGUUUUAAGCGCUAGCGGCAACCCACCACACUCUCUUGCCAGGGUUUCGGCUAGCUCUGGAAUACUGGUAUGACUGUCAAGAGUGGAUCUGUCGACCAUCUCCUGAAAUAAUUCCCAGGCUUUAUCAUGCGCCAAACUAUACACUUCCAACUUUUUAGCGUCCAUUUGAUCGCAAACACCAGCUGAACGAGUUGUCAAGACUAUUUUGGACCCAUCAUUUAGAUUUUGAAGAGGGACACCCAAUUGUGUUAAAUCAAUGCGCUCCCAUAUAUCAUCCAAUAACAACACAAACUUCUUUCCGCUUAAAAUUCUAGCGAUGUCCGCAGCCUUGUCUCGAAGACUUUUUUUCUCCCAGCUUGGGUCUUCUGAAAAGCCAAUCCUUUUUCCAAUGUCAUCUUGAAGUGUUGACGCAGCCGCCCAGAUAACAACAUCAAAAUUAUGCUGUUGAUGGCAGAAGUUGUUGUUGACUUGUUUUAAAAGGGUAGUUUUGCCGACUCCCCCUAUACCAUACAAGCCGAUAAUUCCCCUGUUAUUUUCCUCAUCAGUGAUACAUCGCCAAACUCGAUCCACUAGUAAUUCUUGACCAACAAUUGUUUGCGCAAGAGGUAAUUCAAUUGCUGCACCAUCUGGCGCCUUCUCAACAACGACUUCAAUUUUUUCUCCGUCCUUCCUUAAAUUGAUCACUCGAUCCGUCAACAUGACCACUUUUCUGCCGAAAUCGUAGCUUGAAGCCAAGUUUUUGGAACAGAGGCCUCCAAGGCACAAUCUAUCCAUUUCUUGAGCUUUAACUUGUUGCAGCUUCGUAAAUUCAUUUUCCAGUUUUUGCACAUCUUCAAGCCACCCUGCGACCUGGUUCGUUCGUCUGGUUCGAGGUCGUUGUUCUUCGACCUCAACCCUGGUCUUCAGAUCGUCCCUUGUUCGAGUCAAUUUGUGCAAUUCAGUCUCCAAGCCCUCAAGAUUUUUUUCGAGACCCCAUAUAUAUUUUGCUUGUUGACCAACGCAGUUUAAAGUUCGAUUAAAAAAGUCUGGUUGUAAGAAAGUUGAGAUUAAGUUACCCAUUGUCGUUCACGAAAAGAGGAAGAGAAGCGAUGGGUACAAUGAAAAGAAUUAUGCUGCUUUGGAGAGGGUUAUAUUUAGAGAAGCACAAUACCGAAAUAAAAAUAUGAUACAUUUGUUGCUUUAUAAUUCAUAUGUCAAAUAUCAAGAAUAUAAUGAUACGCUUACACGUCAUAUAAAAUUUGCAAUUCAACCCAGUAAUCACAUAGUUAAUAUUAAAUCUUAUCAUUUGUUAUCUAAGUGAUAAAUUUAUAUUGAUAAUAUAUUUUUUAGAAUAAAAAUUUUCUACCUUAACUUGGAUGAAGAUUCAAAAUAUUAAGUCAAUGAUAGAUAGAUAAAAAAUAAAAUAAAAUAAAUUUUAACAUUAAUUCCUGGAAUCUGUCACCAUUUUUUUCCCUUAGUAACAACCAUGUUCGCUUGAGAGACCACCACAACAUGAAUAAUUUCUUCUUGGUCGACCAAAUUGGCCUUAAGAGGCUUGUGAUCUCCCUUUCUAUACUUGCAUUUGAUAGCAAAAUGUCCACAAACAUAACAAUUGCCUUUUUAAGGAAUCAAACAAGACUUAAUUAGGCGAUAAACCAGUCUAUUGGCUAGAGCCACUCAAAGUUUGAAUGAAGGUAAUUUUUCUAUCAAGAGAAGAAUUGUAAUCCUUAGAAUAUUUGAGAUGAUUUUGAGUGGUGCCAUAUCAAAAUUGAUAUAUACUAAUUUUGAUAUAUAAUUAUAUGAUUAUAAAUAUAAUGAAUAAUAAUCUAAAAAAAAAUAGGCGAUAAAGUUUAUUACAUCCACGAACAUAAAGGUCACGUUCAAGUAAAUGUGACCGUUGGACGUUGACAGCCCCUAAAAAAGAACCAAAAAAAAUCUAAUUUGAUAAAACGACGUCAGGAUUCGAAAUGGUCACGGGUUAAAAAAUUUAUUGGAAGCAUAAUAUUAACGUGCGCUUGCUUCUUCCAAAACAGCAAGAGACUGAAUGCUGAGCCUCUCUGAAAAAGAAGCUGCGUUCUGUAAGACUGAAACGUUUAGCUGAGACCUUGUGUUAAUUUUUUACAACCCUAAACCCUAAACCCUAAACCACUUGCUCUUAAUUGUCACCCGCAUUACCGUAGGAAUAGGAUUUCUCUCUAUCUCAGUUUUACUAAAUUUUUAAAAAUUUAUUUUUAUGUGUCUUUUAAUUAUAGUAUAUAAAUAAAAUUUUAUUUUUUAAUUUUUUUAAUUUAUUAACUAUCAAUCAUUUUAAAUUAUUUAAUAUGAUCAGAUCAAAAGAAAAUUUUUAUCUUUUAAUUUAACUAUGUCAAUUAAUAUUACAUAUCCUAAUUUUCUUAAAUGAUGCGGCAUUUAUUAAUUAGACACUAAGAUAGCACUAUUAAUUUAUUUAUAUAUUUUAUAAAAAACUAUCAAUCACUUACAUUACAUACUAUAUUCUGAAAAAAAAAUUUGAGUUAUCUAUUAUUAUUUAAAAAGGAGGAGUAAUUUUGGUAUGCUAAGGUUAUUUCACAAACGUAAUAAAGAAAUUUGUGAUGAUGAACACAGUGAUAGGGCAAUUAUUGAAGCAGCAAUGACUUCGUCUGUUGCGCGUGGGAAAUCUAUUAGUAAUAUAAAGGAAAAUAAAAAGUACCCUAUGUCUUUUCAACUAUUAUUAUUUUUCCAAGGCGAACUAGCCAAAUAUGUAUGAUAAAUGUCCCUAAUAUUUUUUCUGUAAAUACAAAGACAAAUUAAAUUCAACUAGAACAAAAGUCUUUCACUGGAACCCAAUAGAUAAAAGACCAAAAUGAUAUCUAGACAUACCUCAUUGUAUAGCAAUGGAAGCUUACAAGUUAAAAUAGUAUUUAUAAUCUUUUGUAACUUUCAAAUUCUGCAUUGGAUUCUGCAACUCAUCAAGAUUAGCUUUUUAGAUCUCAUAUAUAUUUUAGCAUCUCCACGAAGGAAAAAUAAAAUAAAACUGCAAGAAUUGAGUCUGGUGAUAAGAAGCACGCAUGAGAAUGAUGUUACCCAUUUUUGUUAACAAAAAUUUCAAGGAAGAAAAUAAAGUGAGAAAGAAAGAAUUAUGUUUGUGAAAAUGGAAGAGAAGGUAGGAAUUGUAUUAUAAGACUGCAAUGUUAAGUGGCUUGGUUGUGUAGGUGAGACAUUUCAUCGAACUUCUUUACAUUUCCAUCAAACACCUUGUUCUUUAACCGUCUGUGACGUCCUUUAUACCCGUCCAUAGACAUUAAAUUGGCUGAUGUCAAGUGAAUUUGAGACUACAAAUGUGCAGCUCUUGCCUUAAUCUCCUUAGAAUCCUGAAGGGUGAAAACUUAUACCUUAUAGACUUAAGGUACGUUUAGGAUUGAAGUGUUAUAACUUUUAAGCUACAGUUGCUGUAAAAAAAAAAAAUUUAAAUAAUAAUUUUGAUGAAAUUAUUAAUAAUAAUAUAAUAAAUUCUCCAUUAUACAAGUGAAAAAUUAUAUCAACAUAUCUUUCAAGACACAACAAUUAGUAUUUACUAAACACUUUACUACUGUACCUUUUAAGGUACAGGUAUCCAACUUCAAUUCUAAAUGCACUCUCAUAUGUAUACCCUUUAUAUAAGGCUGAUAGAGUAAUGUAAACUAUAUUGUCCUUUUUUUCUUGUGUUAAUUGAAAUAAUUAAAACUCAAAAUUUGUAAGUGAGGCCACUUGAUUGCAGCAAAGGAGAGCAGUGAAGGGAAGAUAAAAUUUUACCGACAUUGAACUUGUUAUUUCUCUCUCUACUAUAUUGUAGUGUUUACUUUUUAGAGUGGGAGUUUGGAGUGUGGAGUGUGGAGUGUGGAUUCCUCCCACUCUCCCACUCUAGUGUUUACUUAUCUUAAAAAAGGGGGAAGUGGGAGUGGGAAUCCGUGGGUCCCACCCAAUUUUGGAGUGGGAAGUGGGAUUCCCACUCCCAUGGGGGGAGGUGGGAGUGGGAAUCCACUCCCCCCUCUUCCCAUUUUAUCCCUAUAAUUAAAUUAAUAAAUAAUAUUUAAUAAAAUAAAUAAUAUCAUAUUUAUUAAAAAUAAUAAUGAUAUCAUAUUUAUUUUAUUAAAUUUAAUAAAAUAAAAAUAAAUAAAUAUUAUAUUUAAAUUAAUAAUAUUAAACAUUAUUAAUUUUAAUAAAUAUUAAUUAAUUAUUUAAUUAAUAAUAAUAAAUAUUUUAUUCUAAAAAAAUAUUAAUUUUGUACUAUAUUAUCAAUAAUAAUAUUUCAUUUGUGUUGUUAUUAUUAAUAAUUUUUAUUCACAUAAUUUAAAUUAAAAUUAAUAAAAAAUUAUGAUUUACAUAAUUAAGAAUAUUAGUAAUUAUUAUUAAUUUAGAAAUAUAAUAAAAUAUUUAUUUUAUUUUCCAAAUAUUUUUUAUUAAUUUUUUAAUUAUAAAUUAUAAUUCUGUACAUAAGGAUAAAAUUGUAAUUUAAAACAAUUUACUCCCAAUCCAAGACAAAGUAAACAAAUAAUUAGGAUUCUGAUUGACAAUCUAUACUUUCACACCCUACUCUACACUCCUAAUCCAAGGAUUCCCACUCCUCAGGAUUCCCACUCCAAUCCAAAAAGUAAACGCAGCAUAUAUAUAUUAGCUUGUUGUUAAUUAUAAUCUUUGCAACCAAAUAAUGUAGAAUAUGUAUACGGGUGCGAAAUUUUCCAUAGGGAAUUCAGUGUUCGAUUUAAACUGCACUUUUAUAGUUUGUUCUCCAUUUACUCCUUACUUUCAGAUCUUUGUGACAAUCACAAUUUUGUCAACCAAAAUAAAGGUCGCAUUCAAGCAAAUUAAAUGUGACCUUUGGACAUUAGCAUCAACCUCUAAAGUGAUAGCAGUAACAAACAGCUCAGCACAAAUAAUUGAGGCCCUGCACUUUCAUUAGAGGAUGGGAGAAGAGAACACUUGAUUUGAUAGCAAGACGCCAAGACCAGGACAGAGACCAAGACGAAGACCGAUGAAAAGCCCUAAACAAACCAAAAAAUAAAAAUAAAAAUGCAGUUAUGAUUAUCGUCGAAUACUUCAAACAUACGACAAGUCCAAGUUUAGCUAAGGCCUAGUGUAUAAAUUUUCUACAAGCUGUUGAAUGAGAAAAUUUGUCUAAUUCUUAAGUCUUACCUGCCAAUCACAUCAUUUUAAAUUUAGUCUGUUGAGUAGAAUUUUACUUUUAUAAUUUUUAUCUCAAAAAUCUAUUUUAAAUUAUAUAAUAUUUAUUAAUUAAAUAAUAAAAUAGCAUAAUUAAUUUAUUUAAAUCCUAUAUUAAAUUAUCAAUCACUAAAUAAAUGACACAUUACAUACUAUAUUAUUUAAAAUAAAAAUUUAAAAUAUUUACCGUUACUUAAAAAAAUUAAUUUCCUUUUCCUAAAGUUAUUUCACAGACGCAAGUACAAAAUUCUGUGAUCAUGCACAAAGUGAUAGGGCAAUUAUUGAAUAAAUAUCUCACCAAAUAUAAUUAUAGCAAAUUAAAUAAAUAUUUACUAUGACUUCAGCAUCUGAGUUCCCACUCUAUAAAUAUGCCAGCAUUUUAAAACAAACAAGACUUAAGCGACAAAUACAAUUUUGUCGACGAGUAAAAAGGUCGCAUUCAAGCCAAAGGAGAAAUUCUUUCCAGUGGGAGGAUUCUAAAACCAAGAAUCCACUGCUGAAAUUUUAUUAACUGAAAAUAGAUAACGAUUGACACACCAGACAACAACAACAAGAUGCAAUUAAAUCUAAUGAAAAUUAAAAAAAGAAAAAAGAAAUACAUAUUCAAACAUAUUAAUGAAAAUCAUCCCCAAGUACGACACCGGAAGAGAAAGCAUUUUGGGUGGCUUGGUCCUCCCAUUGUAGCUCUUCCCACCAUUUUUUCGACCCCUCGAUGACAACUCGACGUUCCUUCGCGCUGCUGGAAUUGAGUGGGAGCUUCUUCAGCUGUCGGCAUUCACGUACUUCAAUUUUCUUCAGCUUUGGAAAGGGCAGGGGAUUCGGGUAAACGCUCUUUAAAUUUCUUCCCCACUUUAUGGUUAGAGAUUCGAGUUGUGCAAAAAAGUUAUGCUCUGACCCGAUUAUCUUCGAAAUAUCUCUCAAUUUAUCAACACUAAUUAUUUCUUCCGUUUCUGUACAAAAGACUAUACGCAGCUGCUUGAGAAUUUGAACAAAAACUAGCCACGUUAAGUCUUUCAUUUUUUUGCAACUCCAUAUGACAACUCUGUCGAGACUGCGGAAACCACUUUGAAAAAGUUUCUUUACCUCUUCUGUGCUGUCAGUCUUCAUCUCUUCCAAAUUACUGUCUGAAAUGCGUAACUCCUGAAGAUUCUCCAUGUAUGCUAGAUGUAAGACAUUGAACGGUGGACUUUCACAUUGGCAAACCAUUACAGAUUGAGUGAUGCUCACCAGCUUUGGAUAUUUCAAAAACUUUUGGACAGCAAGUGAACUUCGGAAGGUCCAGCUUAAAACAUUUAAAUGCUUCAAACCCAGCAAUUCCUUCAUCAAAGGUUCAGCAUCAUCACAUAGAACGUUACCUUCUAUUACGCUCCAGCGACCGCGUGAAAGCAACCUGAGUACCUCCAACUUUGAAAAGCCAGAUAUCAAUUGAUGUGGAAUUAUAGACAAAAACCGUGUAUAGUCCAAGUUCAAAUAUCUCAACUUCUCCAACGCCUUCAGCUCUUGCGGCAACCCAGUUAUGUUAGUCGAUGAUAGAUCAAGAUGAUGUAAUGAAACCAAACCUGAAAUCCCUGAAGGUAGUGUUCUUAGGGGAAAAUUUCCUCUUAGACUUAAUACUCUAAGAGAAGACAUCGAUUGAAAGAAGCCAUCAGUAAUCUCCUCAAUCCGAUUUCCACCCAGAAGUAAAGUUACGAGGCGCGGACACGUGGGAAUUUCCAAUAAGCUCCUAAUUCCAUUUCCCAUCAGAGAUACCCGUUUGGCACCUUCCCAUUCUUCAAACUUUGGUGCUUCGGUCAAUUCAACUCCAGCGCGAACCAGAAAGUUCUGCUCCUCCUUGUCUACCGUGCACGCUAUCCAUAAUGACAUCUCACGAAUCAUAUCGUGCAUCUUUACAUGAUCAUCGCCUUCUUCCUCCAAUAAGCAUGCAUGAAGAAGGUCAUCAAUAAAAUCGCAUCCACCAUCAAAAUCAUAUACAAAUCCUUCACUAAUCCAAUAAUCAAUCAAAUCCCUUUUAGGAAUUUCGUAGUCUUCAGGAUAUAAACAACAAUACAGGAGACAGGAACGAAGUUCGUCCGUAGACAAACUAUCAUAGCUGAACUUUAAACGCGAAAACACCUCUUCUUUCAUACCUGAGAAUUUAGAAGCUGAUGUUCUCAUUUUGUGAAUUGCACGUUUCCAAUCUCCAACUUUCCUUUGGCUUUUCAUGGCUCGACCCACUGUUUUAAGCGCUAGCGGCAACCCACCACACUCUCUUGCCAAGGUUUCGGCUAGCUCUGGAAUACCGGUAUGACUGUCCAGAGUGGAUCUGUCGACCAUCUCCUGAAAUAAUUCCCAGGCUUUAUCAUGCGCCAAACUAUACACUUCCACCUUUUCAGCGUCCAUUUGAUCGCAAACACCAGCUGAACGAGUUGUCAAGACUACUUUGGACCCAUCAUUUAGUUUUUGAAGAGGGACACCCAAUUCUGUUAAAUGAAUGGGUUUCCAUAUAUCAUCCAAUAACAACACAAACUUCCUUCUGCUUAAAAUGCUAGCGAUGUCCACAGCCUUGUCUUGAGGACUUUUUUUCGCCCAGCUUUGGUCUUCUGAAAAGCCAAUCCUUUUUCCAAUGUCAUCUUGAAGUGUUGACGCAGCCGCCCAGAUAACAACAUCAAAAUUAUGCUGUUGAUGGCAGAAGUUGUUGUUGACUUGUUUUAAAAGGGUAGUUUUGCCGACUCCCCCUAUACCAUACAAGCCGAUAAUUCCCCUGUUAUUUUCCUCAUCAGUGAUACAUCUCCAAACUCGAUCAAGUAAUAAUUCUUGACCAACAACUGUGUGCUCAACAGGUAAUUCAAUUGCUGCACCAUCCGGCGCCUUCUCAACAACCACUUCAAUUUUUUCUCCGUCUUUCUUUAAAUUGAUCACUCGAUCCGUCAACUCGACCACCUGAGUCCCGUAAUUGUAGCUUGAAACGAAGUUUUUGGAACAGAGGCCUCCAAGGCACAAUCUAUCGAUUUCAUGAGCUCUAACUCGUUCCAGCUCGGUAAAUUCAGUUUCCAGUUUUUGCACAUCUUCAAGCCACCCUGCGACCUGGUUCGUUCGUCUGGUUCGAGGUCGUUGUUCUUCGACCUCAACCUUGGUCUUCAGAUCGUCCCUUGCUCGAGUCAAUUUGUGCAAUUCAGUCUCCAAGACCCGAAGGUUUUUUUCGAGACCCCAUACAUAAUUUGCUUGUUCACCAACGCAGUUUGAAGUUCGAUCAAAUAAGUCUGCUGGUAAGAAGGUUGAGAUUAGGUUACCCAUUGUCGUUGACGAAAAGAGGAAGAGAAGCAACGAGUACAAUGAAAAGAAUUAAGCUAAUUUUUACUUAAAUUCUUAAGAAUUGCUGUCAAAUGCAAACAGAGUAUGAGAAUCAGGUCUUUAUUGAUUAUGAUGACUUGAAUGAAAAUGAAAUACAGAGCUUUGCUAGUUUACAUACAGAGACAAAAAAUAAUGACAGCUAGCCUAAGGGGUAUUACACGGAAGUAAUCAAAAUUGAUCCGUGAAUAUAGCAAUUGUGAACCAAUCACAUUAAGCUUCUAGAAGAUGCAACUAUUCAAUGCACAUGCGCUGCUAUUCUUCAACAUAACAGUUUUGCCAGCUCAACAAAUCCAACUCACAGAAUCAAGGUCAACCGUUGACUCUUCACAGCUGCUGCUUUCAACAAUUUUUAGAGAACCACAACACCAAAAUAAAAAUAUGAUACAUUUGUUGCUUUAUUCAUUAUGUCAAAUAUCAAGAAUAUAAUGAUACGUUUGCACGUCAUAUAAAAUUUGUAUUUCAACCAAGUAAUCACAUAGUUAAUAUUAAAUCUUAUCAUUUGUUAUCUAAGUGAUAAAUUUAUAUUGACAAUAUAUUAUUUAGAAUAAAAAUUUUCUACCUUAGGUUUGGAUGAAGAUCCAAAAUAUUAAGUCAAUGAUAGAUAGAUAAAAAAUAAAAUAAAAUAAAUUUUAACAUUAAUUUUUUAUUUAAUAAAAAGUAAAUUCAAUACAGAAUUCUAAUCCCUUAAUCUCUCUCCAUCCACGGCAAAAGAAAGCAGCAACUCAACUCUCUUUAAAGGCUAUGGAGGUUCUCUUGCGACCUCUCUUCAGCAUACCCUCCAGAACAUUAACCCCACCACCGCCAUCACCACCCUGUUAAACACGUUUUCAAAACGUGUAUAAUGUGGCCAUCUAAUUUAUUUUUAAUUAUUAGUUUUCUAAUUUAAAUUGAUAUUUAUCUUUAUUUAGUUUACUUUUAAAACGUUGGGUUUGGUUUAAAAUUUGAAUAAAGAUAAAACAUCUCUUCCUAAUAUCUCUCAUACACGUUACGGGUGGUUUACUAAAAUCAAGGGGAUAACGGCUCAUAACUUCCUCUUUUAUUUAAACUUGUCAUCUUGAUGGGAGAUGUUUUACGGUCACGUUUUUUCAAGAAAAAUAUUGAGGGUCCCUGGUCUAACAACAGAGCCUGUGUAUACCAUCUACUCUCAGGAAUUAAGUGUUGGAUAGACUAGAAAAUUCUGAGUACAAAGCAUGGCUUGUUUUCGUUGGUUUUGUUUGCAUUCCAGUAGAAAGGUUGUGUACAAUUGAAUUUGAUAACUAUGGCAGGAGGUAAGUUUUCUAACUUGUGCAUGAUGAAUAUAGUCUUUUACACCCCACCAAUCAUCUCACUCUCAAAACUCUCCAUUUUUGCCUCCAUUAAUUCCCACUCUCUCCAAAACCCUGAUUUCUUCCUCUUCUCGUUUCCUCUCGCCCGCCCCUGGUACGCCAAUUUCCAUUCUCUCGCUCUUUUUUUUGGCAAUUUUGGCUUGAGUUUUUUGGGUUUUUGGUAAUUUAUCUUUAAUUUUUGUGGGUAUCCUUCGUUUUUUUAGUUAUCAUACAUGAGUUGAGUAGUCGUAGACGAUUUUUUAUUGUUUUAAACUGAACGGAUUCUUUGUAUUUCGAAAAUGAAAUUCAUUGUUUGUGAAGUAACUUUUAAAGCUGUUGAGUUGAGUUUGAAAACUUAAUGUGCUUAAAUUUAUCUAUGUGGAUUUGAAUCAGUUAGACAAGCAGCACAGGAGAGCCAAUCGAGCGCGGAGGUGAAUGCCGAUAGAAGAGAAUGGUUUAUGCAAGGUACAUUAAUAGUAAUUUGAUCUGAUGCCAAUUUUAUUUCUAUAUUAAUUUAUUAGAUUAUGUAAUGUUAUAAAUUCUUUGUUCAAAAUGUAGAGCUUGGAAAUUUAGUCGGUACAUUAUGGUAAUGAAUGUAGCUUGUGUAUCUGUUCAAAUUUAUGUCUAGCUUUGCUGUUUUGGUAAUGGUUUGUUUAGUAUAAAUUUUGUGUUGGUUAUGAUGUUGUUUAGUGGUUUGGAUCACUCGUGCUCUUUUGGCCCCCACUAAAAUUAAUUUUUCAUCAAAGGAUAUGAAUAGUUGUUCGAUGGAAACUUAAUGGAAGAUGUGGGAGCAUCUUUAUGAGUUAAGAUUCCCUGUAGCGAGUAUAUCCUUUGGUGCAUGAGAGUUUAAGUGAUUAUCGUCAUUGUUGAGUUAAACAAUGGGAUUAAUUUUCAUGUUCAUGUAAGGUGAUCAUCGCUAAAGUUAGAGCCAUUAGGUGAUAAAUUGAUACUUCAUUGUGUUGUUAUGUUUGUUAUACUGGAUAAAAAUCCCAGUGAUAGAAUUCAUGUUAGGCGGUUUUGGGUCCUAUUCAAUCCCAAAAGAUGAAUAAGGGGUGAGGCUUUCCCUCACAAUUGUAAAAUCACCACCAUCCUAGUUCACAACCGAUAUAAGACAACCCAACAAUCUCUCCCGCACAUAUUGGGCCUUGGUUCAAAAGCAUGGACACUCGUUUUCACUAGUAGGCUGUUGGACUGAGAUGUUGGUGAAUCUUUUAGUUGAUUUUUUUUUUUUUAUAAAAAGGAAAAGAUUAUGAAGAGAUAAAUACAAUAAAGAAAAAAAGAGAUCAAUAUUGCAAUAAAACAUUUAUGUAGUGAUAUUUUAUAUAAGAAUAAUUUCAUAUAGCUAUAAAAGUAAUGGUCCUAAUUUAUAUUAGGCCAAUUAUAAAUAAGAAUAAAUUUCAUGCUGUAAUAAUUUAUAAUUUUGCUAAAUCUCACCUUAAGGAGCUCACCUCCACGUAGUGUAAAUAUAUAUAUAGAAAAAAAAAAUAUGUUAUAUUACAUUAAGUGAACUUGGGGGUUGUUUGGUACCCCUCUUUACCUGGGAUUGCAUUGUGUUAGCAAUGCAACCCCAUGUUUGGGGUACCAAAUGGCUAUAUUAGCUAAACUCGACAUAUAGUCGGGUUUAGCUAAUGCGUCCAGUUACCGCAUUAGCUUUAGCUUCCUCUUUUUUUUUUUUUUUAUACUUUGUAAUAAUGAUAAAUGAAUAUAAUUUUUAAUUUAAUAUUAUAUAAUAUUAUUUUUACUUUAUAAUUUUAAUAUAAAUUAAUAAAUUUAUUGUUUAAUAAUAUUAUAUUAUAUUUUAAUUUUUAUCAUAGUAAAUGUACAACUAAAAAAUGUAUUAUUUAAUUAUAUUACAUUAAUUAAUAUGUAAAAUUAUAUUAAUUAAUAUAUAUAAUUGAUUAAUUUUUAAUAAGUUAAUAUAACUAAUAAUAAAUACUUAAAUAAUAUAAUAUAAUAUAAUAUUAUUUAAUUUAUUAAAAUAAUUAAACUAGUUAUUUUUAAAUAAUUUAAUAUAACUAAUAAUAAAUAUUUAAAUAUGAAUAAAUUUGAAUAAUAUUAAUUAAAAAUUAAUAAAAUAUAUAAUUAUUAGAUUGUUUAGCACAAUUCAUUUUUUAGCACAAUUCAUUAGUAUUUUCUAAAUAUAUAAUUUAAAUUAGUCACAAAAAAUUAAUACAAUAUAGUGCAAUAUCAAAUAUAAUAUAAUUAAAAAUUAAAUAUAAUACAGUAUAGUACCAAACAUUAUACAACAUUAUUAUAAUACAUUACUAAUACAACACAACAUAAUGCAAUACACCUGCAUUAAAAUAAUGCAAUACAAUAUAAUAUAAUACAGCGUGCCAAACGCACUCUUGUAUCCAUAUAGUACAAAAACAACAUAAGAGAAAAAUGUUAAAGAGAACACAAAAGUUCAGAGACUUUUAAGAUAAUGUUUUAUAUUUGUAACAAGCAUGUGCUAACUUUUUUGAAACCAUGUAUAUUUAUUUUUUCCCUAAGUUACAUGCAUGUAACUUAGCAUUAGCCUCAUUUUAUUAUUAUCUAUACAUUGGAUUUGACAUGUUUCAUUAAUAAUUUAUUACUACAUCUCUAUUAAAAUAAUUGAGGUCCUGCACUUUCAUUGGAAGAUAGGAGAAAAAAAUAAUUGAUAAGAGAAGAAAACAAUUUAAAAUAAAAUUUUAAAAUAUUUAUCAUUACUUAAAAAAAUUAAUUUUCUUUUCCUAAAGUUAUUCCACAGACGGUAGUACAAAAUUAUGUGAUCACGCACGCACACAGUGAUAGGGUAAUUAUUGAAACAAAAAUGAAAUUUGUCUGUUUUCCAUUUGAAAUCUAUUACUAAUAUAAAGGAAAAGAAAAAUCUUUAAUUACUUUUUUUUUUUUUCAUGUAGGGCAAGGCAAACAUCACUAUCUUGUUAAAUUAAUAUUUAAAAUUAUCCCACCAAAUGUAAUUAUAACAAAUUAAAUAAAUAUUUACUAUGAGUUCAGCAUCUGGGUUCCCACUCCAUAAAUAUGCCAGCAUUUUAAAACAAACAAGACUUAGAGUGUGUUUGGGAUUGAGGUGCUGUAGCUUUUAAGCUACAGCUGCUGUGAAAAAAAAACUGUAAUUAUGAAACAAAAUUUAAUAAUAUAUAGUAAAUAUAAAUUUUAAAUAAUAAUUUUGAUAAAAAUAUUAAAGAUAUAAUAAAUUUUAUAUUAUACAAGUGAAAAAUCAUAUUAACAUAGCUUAAAAGCUACAGCAGCUAGUGUUUACCAAACACUACAGCUGCCCAACCUCAAUCCCAAACGCACUCUUAAGCGACAAAUACAAUUUUGUCAAUGAGUAUAAAGGUCGCAUUAUAAGCCAAAGGAGAGCAGUUAAGGGAAGAUAAAAUAUUAUUGUAUUGAACUGGUUAUUUCUCUCUAGGGGUGGCAAAAAAGUCUGGGCUGGUCUAGGCCCGCGGGCCUAAAGCCCGGCCCGUAAGGGUGGGCCCAGAUAUUGGCCUAAAAAUUACAAAGCCCACAUAUGUGGGAUCUGGACAAGGGCUUAGCAAAAAAGCCCGGACUUGGCCCAGGCUUUUUAAAUUUAUGAAUAAAAAAUAAAUUUAAUUUAAAUAAAAAAAGAAAAAACUCAAAAUAUUAAAUUAGUUUAAUUUUUUAUAUUAGUAUUUGUUAUUUUAUUAGGUUGUAUUAUUAAUAUUUUAUGUAUUGGACUAUUAUUCUAUUUUAUAUAUUAGAUGAUUAUCUUUAAUUUAAAUUUUUUCUUAAUUUAAAAAAUAUUUUAUAAUUAAUUUAAAAAGCCCAAGCCCGGCCCAGGCCCGGCCCGAGUUCGGUCCGUCCAAAUUUAAACGGGUUUUUGAAGGGCCUGGACUUCGUUUGAAUGAUGUGGGCUUGGGCCUGGGCUUUGAAAAGCCCGGCCCAAACCCGCAAAUUGCCAUCCCUAUUUCUCUCUCUUCUAUUAUUAAUUUGUUGUUAAUUAUAACCUUUGCGGGAUUUAAAAAAAAGAAAAAGGCCCUUGCGUUUUCAUCAACAUUACACUGCCAAAUGUGAAAUGGAUUGAGAACCACAUGUCCUUAUUAUGCUGCCACUCCACAAAUGUUUAUUUUCCCCUCAUUCUCCUUAGAAGCCAGAGGCAGAGUCAGUCCUGCACCCCUUUACGUAUGCCUUCUCCAUAAAUUAACAUAAACGAUUAGUAUUAGAGCUGGCAAAAUGGGUCAUCGGGUCGUGUUUGUAUUGUGUCAGCUUCGUGUCGUGUCAAAUUUAGGUCGACCCAUACUCGACCCAUUUAAUAAUCGUGUCAAAAUAUUGAGACACAAACCCGACACGGAAAAAUAAUCAGGUUAUCCAAUAACCCGCUAUCUAUAUAUUAAACAAAAGUUACAUCAAAUAUUUACACAUUUUCAUACAUACGUAUGCGCAUACAUACAUACAUAAUUUAUUGAUAUUAUAAAAUAUACAUAUCUACUAAAAUAUUAGACACACUAUUGAGGUUUUAAUUAUAUAUGUGUAAAUAAUAUUAUAUAUCAAUAUUAUAAAAUAUAUAUGUCUACGAAUAUUUUAUACAUUUAUACUAGCUCUAAAUGUAUUUAAAAAUUCAUAAAUAAAAUAUUAUGUCUAUAUUCAUCCUUUUAAAGAAUUAAAAAAAAUCAUCUCUAAUAUUUGAGUUUUGGUGACAAGAAUUUACAAAUUAUUUUAAAAUAGAAAAUAUAAUCGGGUCAUUGAUCGGGUAAAUGGGUCAAGAAUUUUAACUCUAACCCGACACGAAAAAAAAUCGUGUUGACCCGGACCCGACCCAUUUAAUAAUCGUGUUAAAUUCAACGACUCAUACCCAUUUAUUAGUGUUGUGUUCGUAUUGGGUAAUCGGGCCGUGUCAAAUUUUGCCAUAUCUAAUUAGUAUAAGAUGAUUUAACCACACAAUAUGUCAAAUUUACAUUUUGCAAUCAUUGAUACUUGGUGCUACAGUCAAAUUUAUAUUUAUUCAAGGUAGCGGGUUCAAUAAUUAAAUUCACAUAAAAAGAAAGAUGCAUUCACCCUUAAUGGCCCAGGAGCCAACCAAAUUCCGCGUCCGCGAAGUGAGGCACUUUUCUUAAAGUUAUUUCACAGACGGAAGAACAAAAUUCUGUGAUCACGCACAAAGUGAUAGGGCAAUUAUUGAAACAUAAAUAAUGUCUAUUUCCCAUCCGAAAUCUGUUCUAAUAUAAAGGACAAGAAAAAGUUUUAAUUAUUAUUAUUAUUAUUUUUCACGUAGGGCAAGGCAAACAUCACUAUCUUGUUAAAUUAACAUUUAACAUUGUCCCACCAAAUAUAAUUAUAACCAAUUAAAUAAAUAUUUACUAUGAGUUCAGCAUCUGAGUUCCCACUCCAUAAAUAUGCCAGUAUUUUAAAACAAACAAGACUUAAGCGACAAAUACAAUUUUGUCACCGAGUGUAAAGGUCGCAUUUUAAGCCAAAGGAGAGCAGUUAAAAGGAAGAUAAAAUAUUACCGUAUUUCUCUCUCUUCUAUUAUUAGUUUGUUGUUAAUUAUAACCCUUUUCGGGAUUAAAAAAAGAAAAGAAAAAGGCCUUUGCGUUUUCUAUUAGCAUGUGUACAUGUUUAUUUUCUGUGUUAGUAGUGCAGAGUAUAUACUGAACACACUGGACAAAAAGGGUAAUUUGUAAUCAAUUUAGUUUUAUAAACAUUAAUCUCGGAAGUAGUUACUGAACUUCAUGUGGAAAAAAAAAUAAAAAAAGAUAGUCGCUGAGCAAUAAAUCUACAAGUCAUCAAAAUCGAGCAAUUCUAUGGCAAGAAUUCUUUCCAGUGGGAGGAUUCUAAAACCAAGAAUCCACUGCUGAAAUUUUAUUCACUGAAAAUAGGGAACGAUUGACACACCAGACAACAAGAACAAGAUGCAAUUAAAUCUAAUGAAAAUUAAAAAAAGAAAAAAGAAAUACAUAUUCAAACAUAUUAAUGAAAAUCAUCCCCAAGUACGACACCGGAAGAGAAAGCAUUUUGGGUGGCUUGAUCCUCCCAUUGUAGCUCUUCCCACCAUUCUUUCUCUCCCUCGAUGACAACUCGACGUUCCUUCACGCUGCUGGAAUUGACUGGGAGCUUCUUCAGCUGUGGGCAUCCACGUACUUGAAUUUUCUUCAGCUUUGGAAGGGGCAGGGGAUUCGGGUAAACGCUCUUUAAAUUUCUUCCCCACUUUAUGGUUAGAGAUUCGAGUUGUGCAAAAAAGUUAUGCUCUGACCCGAUUAUCUCCGAAAUAUCUCUCAAUUUAUCAACACUAAUUAUUUCUUCCAUUUCUGUACAAAAGACUAUACGCAGCUGCUUGAGAAUUUGAACAAAAACUAGCCACGUUAAGUCUUUCAUUUUUUUGCAACUGCUUAUGACAACUCUGUCGAGACUGCGGAAACCACUUUGAAAAAGCUUCUUCACCUCUUCUGUGCUGUCAAUCUUCAUCUCUUCCAAGUUAAUGUCUUCAAGAUCUAACUCCUGAAGAUUCUCCAUGUAUGCGAGAUGUAAGAGAUUGAACGGUGCACUUUUACAAUGGUAAACCAAUACAAAUUGAGUGAUGCUCACCAGCUUUGGAUAUUUCAAAAACUUUUGGACAGCAAGUGAACUUCCGAAGGACCAGCUUAAAACAUUUAAAUGCUUCAAACCCAGCAAUUCCUUCAUCAAAGGUUCAGCACCAUCACAUAGAACGUUACCUUCUUUCCCUUUUAUUACCGAAAGCGACCGCACCCACGCAACCUGAGUACCUCCAACUUUGAAAAGCCAGAUAUCAAUUCAUGUGGAAUUAUAGACAAAUGAAAUGCAUAGUCCAAGUUCAAAUAUCUCAGCUUCUCCAAUGCCUUCAGCUCUUGCGGCAACCCAGUUAUGUCAGUCGAUGAAAGAUCAAGAUGAUGUAAUGAAACCAAACUUGAAAUCCCUGAAGGUAGUUUACUUAGGGAAAGAUUUAUUCGUAGACUUAAUACUCUAAGAGAAGACAUCGAUUGAAAGAAGCCAUCAGUAAUCUCCUCAAUCCAAUUUCCAUCCAGAAGUAAAGUGACGAGACGUGGACACGUGGGAAUUUCCGAUAGGCUUUGAAUUCUAGUUUUCAUCAGAGAUAUCCGUUUGGCACCUUCCCAUUCUUCAACCUUUGGUGCUUCGGUCAGUUUAACUCCAGCGUGAACCAGAAAGUUCUGCUCCUCCUUGUCUACCGUGCACGCUAUCCAUAAUGACAUCUCACGAAUCAUAUCGUGCAUCUUUACAUGAUCAUCGCCUUCUUCCUCCAAUAAGCAUGCUUGAAGAAGGUCAUCAAUAAAAUCGCAUCCAUCAUCAAAAUCACACACAAAUCCUUCACUAAUCCAGUAAUCAAUCAAUUCCCUUCUAGGAAUUUCGUAGUCUUCAGGGUACAAACAACAAUACAGGAGACAGGAACGAAGUUCGUCCGUAGACAAACUAUCAUAGCUGAACUUUAAACGCGAAAACACCUCUUCUUUCAUACCUGAGCAUUUAGAAGCUGAUGUUCUCAUUUUGUGAAUUGCACGUUUCCAAUCUCCAACUUUCCUUUGGCUUUUCAUCGCUCGACCCACUGUUUUAAGCGCUAGCGGCAACCCACCACACUCUCUUGCCAAGGUUUCGGCUAGCUCUGGAAUACUGGUAUGACUGUCAAGAGUGGAUCUUUCGACCAUCUCCUGAAAUAAUUCCCAGGCUUUAUCAUGCGCCAAACUAUACACUUCCACCUUUUCAGCGUCCAUUUGAUCGCAAACACCAGCUGAACGAGUUGUCAAGACUACUUUGGACCCAUCAUUUAGUUUUUGAAGAGGGACACCCAAUUGUGUUAAAUCAAUGCGUUCCCAUAUAUCAUCCAAUAACAACACAAACUUCUUUCCGCUUAAAAUUCUAGCGAUGUCCGCAGCCUUGUCUCGAGGACUUUUUUUCUCCCACCUUUGGUCUUCUGAAAAGCCAAUCCUUUUUCCAAUGUCAUCUUGAAGUGUUGACGCAACCGCCCAGAUAACAACAUCAAAAUUAUGCUGUUGAUGGCAGAAGUUGUUGUUGACUUGUUUUAAAAGGGUAGUUUUGCCGGCUCCCCCUAUACCAUACAAGCCGAUAAUUCCCCUGUUCUUUUCCUGAUCAGUGAUACAUCUCCAAACUUGAUCAAGUAAUAGUUCUUGACCAACAACUGUGUGAUCAAGAGGUAAUUCAAUUGCUGCACCAUCUGGCGCCUUCUCAACAACGACUUCAAUUUUUUCUCCGUCUUUCUUUAAAUUGAUCACUCGAUCCGUCAACUCGACCACCUGAGUCCCGUAAUUGUAGCUUGAAACGAAGUUUUUGGAACAGAGGCCUCCAAGGCACAAUCUAUCCAUUUCUUGAGCUCUAACUCGUUCCAGCUCGGUAAAUUCAGUUUCCAGAUUUUGCACAUCUUCAAGCCACCCUGCGACCUGGUUCGUUCGUCUGGUUCGAGGUCGUUGUUCUUCGACCUCAACCUUGGUCUUCAGAUCGUCCCUUGCUCGAGUCAAUUUGUGCAAUUCAGUCUCCAAGACCCGAAGAUUUUUUUCGAGACCCCAUACAUAUUUUGCUUGUUCACCAACGCAGUUUGAAGUUCGAUCAAAUAAGUCUGCUGGUAAGAAGGUUGAGAUUAAGUUACCCAUUGUCGUUGACGAAAAGAGGAAGAGAAGCAAUGAGUACAAUGAAAAGAAUUAUGCUGCUUUGGAGAGGGUUAUAUUUGGAGAAGCACAAUACCGAAAUAAAAAUAUGAUACAUUUGUUGCUUUAUAAUUCAUAUGUCAAAUAUCGCGAACAUAAUGAUACGUUUACACGUCAUAUAAAAUUUGUAAUUCAUUUCAGUAAUGACAGAAUUAAUAUUAAAUCUUAUCAUUUAUUAUUUAAGUGAUAAAUUUAUAUUGAGAAUAUUUAUUUAGAAUAAAAAUUUUGUGCCUUUACUUUGGAUGAAGAUUCAAAAUAUUAAGUCAAUGAUAGCUAGAUAAAAAAAUAAAAUAAAAUAAAAUAAAUUUUAACAUAAAUUUUUUAUUUAAUAAAAAAUAAAUUCAAUAUAAAAUUCUAAUCCCUUAGAUUUACAAGUGCAAUCAUUGAUGAUGUAAAGAAUUAUUAUUUUUUUGGUUAAAAUACUAAGAUAUGGACAGUCAAUCAUUAGCCAUAUGGAUUCAAUUUCUUGAUCGACCAAAAACCUUGUUUCGACUGAAAUCUAUACGUGCAAGUGAACAUAAAUGAACAAGCUUUCAUCUGGAUUUACAGAGUGUGAAGUAAAUGGUGCGCGGUUGGAGGGGGGGGGAGCUUAAAUGGCAUGUUUUAUUCAAACGAUGCUGCAACUGCAGUUCUUAGUAGUUGGAUUCAGAAAACUAAGCUUCGAUAUCAUGACAUAACAAAAGAUGCAAUAAAAAUUGCACGGACAUAAUAGUUGUCAUGCUUCCAUAACAACGUUACCAAGUCGGUAAAAGCUAGGAAUAACAAAACACAUAAAAGUAGUUUCAUAUUAGAGAAUAUCUGAAUUUCCUGGUUGGUGGAGUUUCUUUGAUGAUCUUGUUCGAAAGCUAAUACCAUUCAACUCUAAAAUGUACCUCAAAGUAUCAAUCAUCUCAAUUAACUAGCCACAAAGUUUCCUUAGCUUGCCACAGUUCAGUUGUAGCAAACUACCAAAGCCCAUUUGACAAGCAGCCACUCUUUGUUCAUCUGUCAGCUGUGAAAGUGCCACCGCUAAUCUAUCUGGAGUCCAUCUGGUUAAGAACUUUGCCUUUGCGACUGCUGACUUCACUAUUCGUUCGCAUUGACUUUGUAUUGACAUUUUUUACCCGGCGGUAAAUUCUUAAACAUGGAUUCAAUUUCCGUCCAGUACACAAUCAUGGCAAAUAAACUAACUACGCCUUCACUACUUGAAAAUACAAAUUUAUUUUAUUUGUAACGCAAGUCAUUCCAUCGCUUGCCUUAACCUCACGCACGGCUUCACCGCUGCAAUAUCAUCAUAUGACUGCGAAAUUAUAUAUCUCUAUAAUUUUGUGAUGCAUAUGCAUUUUGCUUUUCAUGCCCUUGCAUUACUGAGCUGAUUUAUAUUCUCUGCUUGCAGUUUCAUUCACUAAUAUCCUUUAAUUGUUGUCAACGUCUUCUGGUCUAUAUUUGAUGAGCAUAGUAAAUACCUACUUUUGAUGCUCCAUAUACAAGUAUUAUCAGUCUGUUGCAAAUAGAUGUUUAUCACUAAUGUUGAAAUCGUAAAAUUUUAGACAUACUAGAACCUAAAAUCAAUGAUCCAAAGAGCCAUCGCCGUUUUUUGGAGCAGUUCUUGCAAUAGAUUCCCACUGUGGUUUUGAUUAAUUUGGUCAUGAUGCUUGUGUGCAGUGAUACUGGUAGGAAAGUUGAUGAUCCUGAGGUGCUUGAGGCAAUUCGUUUGACAGUUAUAAACAAUCUACUUCAGUAUCACCCAGUAAUCAUUUUUUUGUCUCUCUUGAGAUAUAACUUGGUGGAGCACCUGUAGGAAUUGUCUUAUUGAAAAGCUUAUUCCAUUUGUGUUGGUGUUGGAAUCAGGAAUCAAGUUCCCAGUUUGCAAUGGGUGUUGCCUUUGGCGUUGAUCCUCCAAAACAACAGGUUUUUGCUUUCUGGUCUUAUUUUGAUUUUUCAGAUUAUUGAUAUUUUUGGCUCUUCUCAGUAGUGGAUCAUUUGAAUAGGAAACUAAGUUGUUUUUAGAGUUCUCUUAGGCCAAAUAUUACUUCACUUUUAUCCUCAUUUUAUUUAAAGACAUUAUAUUCAAUUUGCCUGCCAUUGAAAUUAAUAUCAUGUUGUCAUGAAUGUUAAAAACUAUGCAUAUGAGUUAUUAUGGGAAGGAUAAUGUCCCACUUCAAUCUUGUCUCAAAUCUUGUUGUGCUGGAAUUUGUCAGGUUGAUGUGGACAUAGCAACCCACAUAAGCAUCUAUGAUGAUGGCCCCAACCGAAGGUAAUGCAUAAUUCAUUCUCUUAUCUAGAUGAUGGGGCUUUUGCUAUCCACCAAACUUUGGUCCCACACUAUUACUACUCAUACUCCAGCCCAAGUGGCAAUUUCCUGCCCAUAACUGAAGUAGUCAGAUAAUUUGGCCCUUACUAUUUUUGUUUAUUUUACCUUUUGUUUUAUUGAAGUUUGCUUUUGGUGGAGACGGCUGAUCGACCUGGAUUAUUGGUGGAUCUUGUAAAGAUUUUUACUGUCAUCAAUGUCAAUGUUGAAUCGGGAGAGUUUGAUACUGAGGUAGUGAGGUAAUCUUUUAUAACAAACUCUAUAUAUAUAUAUAUUGACAAAAGAGUGGCCUUCCCUUAUAAAUAUAUUUUGUUCUAAUUUUUGUUUUCGCACCCAGGAGUUGUUGGCUAAGGCAAAGUUUCAUGUCAGCUACAAGGGUGAAGCCAUUAUCAAGCCUCUCCAACAGGUAAAAACAACAGGCCUACAUAUAGGACAUCGGAAAUUGCUUUAUAGAUUGUUUGCUCUGAAGAAUAAAGAGACUUACCAUUUCUACUCAAAAUCGGUAUUCUAGUUGCAAAACUGUUCUUAUAUAAAAGAUUUGAAUUUAAACUUUGAAGUGGGCGGUAAGAACAUUAACGUGCUAAUGAUCACACGGUGCACCUGAAGGCUUGGACGAUCGUUGAUGUACUGAUUAGACUUUGCUUGAUCAAAUUUGCAGGUUCUUGCUAACAGUUUGCGAUAUUUCUUGAGGCGACCAACAACCGAGGAGGCAAGUUUUUGAGCUCUUGUUGAAGACUCCACCAACCAAAUUCAGGAUUACACACACUUGAUGAAUUUUUUUAUUUCUCUCCCCAGUAAACAUUCACAAGGGGAAUUACAAUAUGUUGUCUCCCUAAUCUCCUUACAUAAAAUAAAUAAAACAUGAGAUAUAUAUAAACGGACAACAUUUUAAUGAUAUAUCAUAUGGUAAACACUUAUAAAAUAGAAACCUUGCUAAUUUUAUCAUCCUCAUCAAUUCAUAGUCCUUUUUAAAUAAUUUUCAAGUUUAGGGAUAUGAUAUAGCUGUGUUGUAUUACUCAUAUUAAUCUUAAGCCUAAAGUUUGCAAUGGGUUGAUGAGCAUACAACCUUUUUCUAUUCAUGGAUUAAAAUAAUAAUAAUAUUAUUAUUAUUAGUUUUUUUUUUUUUUAUGUGAACCUUAGUUUACAUCCUAAAUUUUCCUAUAUCAACAUUUCAUUCCAGUACGCAAACAAGAUACAUCACUAUGGUUUCUUUAAUUUCAUUCUGUUUUCAUGCUUUGAAAAUUAGCGUCAUGACAUUGAUUCAGCAACUUUCACAAAACAGAAACAUAAAGGAGAUUUUUACCAUGUGGCUUUGGUGCAUUGGUCAUCAAAAUCUGCACAAUUAAUUAUAAAGAAUAUACGAUGUUUGCGCGUGCAAUUAUGAACGACUCAUCUUAUAUCAACUUAAGGGCAAAAUUAUUUUAAAAUCUCUUUGUAUAUAUGUUACAAUGUCAUUAAUUUUUUUUGUCAAUGGUCAUAGUUUAUUUAAUUGGCUACCAUUUUUAAGUUUCUUAUGACAGUUAACGGGUGAGGUAAAUCGAACACUUAAUUUUUUUAUAUUUAUAUCGUCAAUGGUGGAUUCAAGAAAAUAAUUUAUCGAUGACUAAAUUAUAUGACGACACGAUUCGAAAACUCAAAUUUUAUAGGUUUAAUAAAAACUAAAUUAAAUAAUAGUAAACCACCUAUAUGGGUUACCUCAUAACUUUUUAUAUUUUAAUUAAAGUGUGGUUUUUGUAAUUCUCAAAAUUAAAAUUUUAUAAAUUUUGAAUUUAUAAGACUAUUUUUAUAAAUUUAACUUGCCUAUUUUAAUAUAUUCAACAGAAUUAAUUAAUAACUCAAAUAUUUUUUUUAAUUAUUCUCUCUGUCCCACUAAUCAUGAGGUGAAUCCACCUCUAUAUCUCAUUUUAUAUUGUGUAAUCUCGUUAUGACUAAAAAGUACCUCCCUUAGAUUCAACUACUUAUCUAGGGAAAGUUUUUAAAAGCUGAGUCCACAAGCCAUGUCCCAUAACUUAGAUGACUGAAAAACAAAAACAAAACAAAAGGGAACAAAAGAAGGCCAUGCGGCCCAUGCUCUGCAAUGAGUGCUCCCUAAUGAUCAAGAAAGAGUAUUAUAAUUUAAUAUUUAUCCAAACAGAAAAUGACGUACACGGGAACAAUAAAUGAUCUCCCUAGAGAUGAGAGAAAUGGAUAACAAUAUUCUCUUAUUUAACUUCACUAUAUAAAGAGCUCUCUAUCAAAAUCAUAAUUCAAUUCAUUCCACCCACAUUGUUUGGAAAGAGAGAAAGUGAGAGAAAAAAGAAGGAAAAUAUGACAGGAUCAUUUGCUAGAGGAGCUCCCACCUUUAACUCCAUGUUUUUCAAGUAAUGUUUUCAUUAUCUAUCUACUUUGCUAUUUCAUCAUUUCAUUUUGACAAUCGCACUUCAUUAUUGCAUGGUAUGUUUGUAAAUAAAUGUUUUCACUUUAUCUAAAUUAAUUUUGUUAUGAAACAGUUCGUUCGAAAUAGGCCUAAUAGUUUCAAAUUAUUUAUUUACUAAUUAUGAGUGGUUGGUUAAGUACAUAGAAUUAAAUGUUUUAUUAACUGAACCAAUAUGUCUCCACAGGGGCCUCAGGUUAAAAAAAAUUAUCAAGAAAUAUGAAAGUCUUCAAUUAAAUUUGUCUCUGUGUCUGAUAAUUUUAUUUUGUAGCCCCCAUAUGUUUAUAUUCUUGUGGUAUAACCUACUUAAAAUUUGUUGUUUCUGUAUGAUUGAUGACAUCCAAAAUCCUGAUUUCGCCACUGUCCACGCAAUAAUAAAAAGAGAUUGCUUUCAUUCAUUUGAGUGUUUGAAUAUUUUACUCUUUGUUUUUGCAUUAUUAAUUUGUUGAGUCUUUUUGAAACAUAUAGGCCAAUGAUGAGGAAAUCCUUUCAAAAGAAAACAAGUUCUUAUGAUAUGAUGAGAGAAACAACAUUGAAAUCCAAUGCAGAAGAAGGAAAUGUGAUGAGGAGCCAACAGUUGAAUAAUAAUGUGGGAGAAAAUGAAGGGAAUUGUGGUUGGGUUCCUCAUGAAAGAACUGGGAUUUAUUACCCAAAAGGCCAUGAAAAAGUUAUUGACGAUGUUCCUCCUAGCGCUGGAAGAGAUUUUGAAGUUAAUUGGUUCUCAGAAACUCAUGGAUAAUUUAUGGAUAUGUUUUUUUUUUUUCAAAUUACUACACAUGCUUAAAGCGAAAAGGCUUUCUAUUGUCUCAAAGCAAAAUCCGAUUGUGAAAAAAAAAAUUAAAAUAAAAUAACAAUAAUGGAAAAUGAAAUCAUUUAGAUUCAGCUCAAUGCUAAGCAUUCCAAAAUUUAAGUUUCAAAAGAUAUGACAAUCAUUUAUUAGAUGGUGGUUAAAUAAUUUUACAAGUUAUGAAAUCUAUCGUCUAAUAAAUGAAUAACGUGUGACUUUUAAGACUUAAGAAGUUAAGACUAAAAAAUUAGGAUCUUAAUAUUAUUCUUACUUUUAUAUCAUCUUUUUAUUUAGGUCUAUUGUUUAUUGUCGUCUGAUUCUUCAAGCUAAAUGUACAAAACUACAAAUGGAUUAGGUGGGCCUCGCAUGGGCUUAAUUUUUUGUUAUGGCUCAUGAGUGGUCCUAUUGGUACCCCUAAAAAACCUUCUCAAACCCUUCUUUUAUAAUCAUGCAUUUGUCCCUAUUUAAAUUUACAAUGAUAAACAGAAGAAAUUAAAUUUUAUUCAAAUAACUAGUCUCCAUAAUUACAAUCAUGUGAAACCAAAACUCGACUUAACAAUUUAUUAUUUAUUUUGACGAUAUUUAGUUGACAUUCCUUGUUUAUCAAAGCACAAUGUAUUUUCUUAAAUUUUGAUAAAAUUUUAAUUAUUUUGUUAUUAUUAUUUAAGAUGAAACCUUAAAAUAUCAAUAACCAAUGUUGGAUGUUGUUAUAAGAAAUUCUAAUGAAAAUAUUAUGGAAAUAGCUUUUAAAAUUAUAAGUUCUAAUGGAGAUAAUGAUUAUUCGAAAGUUGAUGCCAUCAGAUUUGGGUUUCAAGCUCCCCAAGACGAAGAAAAUGUGAAAAUGGGGUUGGUGUGUAAACCAAGGGUGUUUUUGGAAUCAACUUAUGUGGGUUUAGAAAUCGAGUGAGGCUAUAUACACUCUAAAAAUUACACUAAACACCAUAAUUUUAUAAAAAAAUUUAUUUCAAUAAUAUUUAUGGUAUAAAUUAUUAUUAAGGACAUGACAAUUAUUAAUUUUUUUUGUAUGACUAUAAUUACUUCUUUUUCAGUUAUAUUAUGAUGAUAUUAAACAAGUUUACAUUGGUUGCUUGAUUUUUUCUUUUGGCCAAAAAAUACAUGUCAUUCCACAAUACCAGAGUAACAUGGACAAUUAUUCAGACUCUUACAAACUAGUCUGCAACUGAGGCAUUACAACCCAGCAAACAUUUUUGCGACAUAAAAAUGUUCAGACAAAUCCAGAUUAAAAAAAAAAGGGCUUAAUUUACCAUCCUCUUUUGACAAACUUUGAAUUUUCUGACAUUCAAUUGGAGGUGGAAGUGGCAUCAUAGUUGUACUGAAGAAGAUCGUCAUAAGGGUCCCAGGCACCUACUCUGAAUCAUUCUUUCUUGUCCCUCUCUUUCAAGUCCUCCAUCAACCUCAAAAUCAUAUUCUCAGCAAUUAAAAAUUUCAUCUUCACUUCUCUUCUUGAUUCUAAGCUCAGAACUAUGAAGCGCAAGCUGCGUCUUUUAUUUAGCUAAAUGAUAUAUUGGUUAAUUGAUUUAUUUGUUCGGAUUAUAAUGUUUAUUUCUCACGAUCUUUUCAUUGGUGAAAUUUUUUGAUGGAUUUUUUUAGUUGCUCCUUUAUCAUUCUUCAUUUAUUGGAGAAAUAUAUUAUACAACCAAAUAAUUAAAUUUUAAUGAUAAAAGAGUGUUUAGAGAAAUAUUUUGAAUAUGUAAGGCGUUUUCAUGAGUGUGUUAGAGUAAAUUAAUUUAAAAAGGAUUAAAUGAGUACAUUUUUGGUACUUUAAGGAAUGUACAAAAUAUAGUUCAUUUUUUUAAAUUAAUAAAUAAGUGUAUAUAGUAAUAAAACUUUGAGAAUAAUUUUUAGACUACAAAUAACUCUGCCCUUAGAAAUAAUAUUAUUUUUUGAAUGAUUUAGUGGGCAUAUUGAAUAAAGAUUUUUAUGAGGGCUUUCAAAGGUGCGAUAGUUCUACUCAUGACUCAUUUUUCUGCUAUUAGGAUUUACUCUUUGUUUCGUACUUUCAUUUGAGUGGAGCUCUCUCUGUCUCUCUCUCUCUCUCUUUGGAAAUGGAAAGCUUCAAUCAAUCACUUCAAGGAAAAAGACUUACAUGAGUUGAAAUUUCCUCCAGCCAAAUUACACGGCCCGAAUUGUUAACAUCAUAUUUAUCUAAUUUAUGAGCGGUCUCACUACUACUGCUCAGUAUAAGAUUGAUUUUGAAGUGGUCUUUCACAACCAUACAAUUUCGAAUCUCGAAAAUUAACCAUGAUAUUUCUUUCAUACUUCUUUCAAAACCUUUCGCCAAGUUUAAAAUAGUCUUCGAGUCUGAUUCAACAAUUAAUGGCAUUAAACCAAAGUCUAUUGCCAUUUUUAUUCUAAAAUUCAUAUCUUCAGCUUUAGCAUAUUCAACGUCCCCAUGAAAAUCUAUAUUCUGAAUUCCUACACUCCAAAAUCCUUAUAAAGCUUGUUUUAAUUUUUAUUUAUCAAAGUACCUUGGUUUAAUUUAUAAAAUACUAAUCCAUAAAUUAAAAUUAAUAAUCUUCUCAUUAAAUUUCACCUUAAAAAGAUUAUAAAUUAUUAAAAGUUUCUAAAAAUUAUAUAUAUAUAUAUAUAUAUAUAUAUGAAAUGAGGUGGGUGGAAAAAUGUUAAAAGAAUAAUUUUAUUUAAGUAUUAAUUAAAUUUUCAAUCAAAAUAAAAAUGGAAUUAAUUUAUCUUUAAUUAUUUAAAUAAUUUUAAUUAAAGAGUUAUAAGGAAUUUAAAGGAGGGUCUUAUAGGGGGUGUCAAAAGGCUGCGAUCUAAUGCUUCCGUUCAUCACAAUCUGCUACUGCGAUUGAUCGCGAUCUGCAGCCGUGGUCGCGCUCGUCCUGUCGCCGUUUGUCGUCGCGAUCUGUUACCUUCGGUGAAGAGGAGCACAAUGUUUGUUUUGGGAAUUAUAAUUUUAUAUUUUAAAUUAUUAAUUUCUUAUAUUGUUUGGCCACUGAUUGUACAUUAAAAUUAUAUAGAUUGGUGUUUGUAUUAUUUCAUUGUUUGCUUAUUUGUUAUUAAUGUUAUUAUUGUUUAUUAUUAUUAUUAUUAUUAUUAUUGUAGUAUUAGUAGUUGUUAUUUAAUUUCAUUAUUAUCAUUAAUUAUUACUAUUAUUUAUUUAUAAUGUUAUUAUUAAAUUUAUUAUUAUUAUCAUUAAUACCAAAGGACAACUAUUAUUAUUAUUAUUAUUAUUAUUAACAACUAAGGGCGUUUUAGUAACUUAAAACAACUUAACAUAUUCCGAUUCCGAUUCUUAGAUAAAGUAAACACAUCAAUGGGGUUUUAACUCAUUCCGAUUCCAAUUCCGAUUGCUACAGUUUAAGUAAACAACUUAUUUUGAUUCUCAUUCCUCAUUUUCAUUCCGAUUCUAACCCAUUCCGAUUACUGACAAGUAAACGCAUUAUAAAGGAAAGGAAAAAAAAUUAAUUAUUUUUUUUACCAAAUAUAAUUAUAACAAAUUAACUAAAUAUUUACUAAGAGUUCAGCAUCUGAGUUCCCAAUCCAUAAAUAUGCCAGCAUUUUAAAACAAACAAGACUUAAGCGACAAAUACAAUUUUGUCGACGAGUAUAAAGGUCGCAUUAUAAGCCAAAGGCGAGCAGUUAAGAGAAGAUAAAAUUUUACCGUAUUAAACUUGUAAUUGUGGAUGCCUGGCCUGGUGUUAAAAAGGAUUUAGAGCCACAAAAAGUUUUUGACCAAACCAAAAAGAAGUAGCAAAGCAAAAAAAGGAUAAUAGCAAAGCAAUAAAUCUACAAGUCAUCACAAUCAUGCAACUCUAUAGCAAGAAAAAAAGAAAAAGAAAAAGGAAAUACAUAUUCAAACAUAUUAAUAAUAAGGAUCCUCCCAAAGUACGGCACAGGAAAAGAAAGCAUUUUGGGUGGCUUGUUCCUCCCAUUGUAGCUCUUCCCACCAUUUUUUCGUUCCCUCGAUGACAACUCGACGUCCCUUCGCGCUGCUGGAAUUGAGUGGGAGCUUCUUCAGCUGUCGGCAAUGAAAUACUUGAAUUUUCUUCAGCUUUGGAAAGGGCAGGGGAUUCGGGUAAACGCUCUUUAAAUUUGUUCCCCGCCACAUGGUUAGAUAUUCGAGUCGUGCGAAAAAGUUAUGCUCUGACCUGAUUAUCUCUGAAAUAUCACUCAAUUUAUCAACACUGAUUAUUUCUUCCAUAGUAAAACCCUGCAUAUUUAGCUGCUCGAGGUUUUGAACAAAAACAAGCCACGUUAAGUCCUUCCCUCUGCAAGACCUUAGGACAACUGUGUUAAGACUGCGGAAACCAUUUCGAAAAAGUUUCUUUACCUCUUCUGUGCUGUCAAUCUUCAUCUCUUCCAACUUAGAGGAUUCAAGUUCUAACUCCUGAAGAUUCUCCAUGUAUGCCAGAUGUAAGACAUUGAACGGUGGCCUUGUAUACGUGCCACAUUCAACCCAUACAGAUUGAGUGAUGCUCACCAGCUUUGGAUAUUUCAAAAACUUUUGGACAGCAAGUGAACUUCGGAAGGACCAGCUUAAAACAUUUAAAUGCUUCAAACCCAGCAAUUCCUUCAUCAAAGGUUCAGCAUCAUCACAUAGAACGUUACCUUCUUCUUCUUCUAUUACGCUCCAGCGACCGCGCGAAAGCAACCUGAGUACCUCCAACUUUGAAAAGCCAGAUAUCAACUGAGGUGGAAUUAUAGACAAAAACCGUGUAUGGUCCAAGUUCAAAUAUCUCAGCUUCUCCAAUGCCUUCAGCUCUUGCGGCAACCCAGUUAUAUUAGUCCGUGAUAGAUCAAGAUGAUGCAAUGAAACCAAAUUUGAAAUCCCUGAUGGUAGUUUACUUCGGGAAAGAUUUAUUCGUAGACUUAAUACUCUAAGAGAAGACAUCGAUUGAAAGAAGCCAUCAGUAAUCUCCUCAAUCCAAGUUCCAUCCAGAAGUAAAGUGACGAGACGUGGACACGUGGGAAUUUCCGAUAGGCUUUGAAUUCUAGUUUUCAUCAGAGAUAUCCGAUUGGCACCUUCCCAUUCUUCAACCUUUGGUGCUUCGGUCAGUUUAACUCCAGCGCGAACCAGAAAGUUCUGCUCCUCCUUGUCUACCGUGCACGCUAUCCAUAAUGACAUCUCACGAAUCAUAUCGUGCAUCUUUACAUGAUCAUCGCCUUCUUCCUCCAAUAAGCAUGCUUGAAGAAGGUCAUCAAUAAAAUCGCAUCCAUCAUCAAAAUCACACACAAAUCCUUCACUAAUCCAGUAAUCAAUCAAUUCCCUUCUAGGAAUUUCGUAGUCUUCAGGAUAUAAGCAACAAUACAGGAGACAGGAACGAAGUUCAUCCGUAGACAAACUAUCAUAGCUGAACUUUAAACGCGAAAACACCUCUUCUUUCAUACCUGAGAAUUUAGAAGCUGAUGUUGUCAUUUUGUGAAUUGCACGUUUCCAAUCUCCAACUUUCCUUUGGCUUUUCAUGGCUCGACCCACUGUUUUAAGCGCUAGCGGCAACCCACCACACUCUCUUGCCAGGGUUUCGGCUAGCUCUGGAAUACUGGUAUGACUGUCAAGAGUGGAUCUGUCGACCAUCUCCUGAAAUAAGUCCCAGGCUUUAUCAUGCGCCAAACUAUACACUUCCACCUUUUCAGCGUCCAUUUGAUCGCAAACACCAGCUGAACGAGUUGUCAAGACUACUUUGGACCCAUCAUUUAGUUUUUGAAGAGGGACACCCAAUUGUGUUAAAUCAAUGCGUUCCCAUAUAUCAUCCAAUAACAACACAAACUUCUUUCCGCUUAAAAUUCUAGCGAUGUCCGCAGCCUUGUCUCGAGGACUUUUUUUCUCCCAGCUUUGGUCUUCUGAAAAGCCAAUCCUUUUUCCAAUGUCAUCUUGAAGUGUUGACACAGCCGCCCAGAUAACAACAUCAAACAUAUGCUGUUGAUAGCGGAAGUUGUUGUUGACUUGUUUUAAAAGGGUAGUUUUGCCGACUCCCCCUAUACCAUACAAGCCGAUAAUUCCCCUGUUCUUUUCCUGAUCAGUGAUACAUCUCCAAACUUGAUCAAGUAAUAGUUUUUGACCAACAACUGUGUGAUCAAGAGGUAAUUCAAUUGCUGCACCAUCUGGCGCCUUCUCAACAACGACUUCAAUUUUUUCUCCGUCUUUCUUUAAAUUGAUCACUCGAUCCGUCAACUCGACCACCUGAGUCCCGUAAUUGUAGCUUGAAACGAAGUUUUUGGAACAGAGGCCUCCAAGGCACAAUCUAUCCAUUUCUUGAGCUCUAACUCGUUCGAGCUCGGUAAAUUCAGUUUCCAGUUUUUGCACAUCUUCAAGCCACCCUGCGACCUGGUUCGUUCGUCUGGUUCGAGGUCGCUGUUCUUCGACCUCAACCUUGGUCUUCAGAUCGUCCCUUGCUCGAGUCAAUUUGUGCAAUUCAGUCUCCAAGACCCGAAGAUUUUUUUCGAGACCCCAUACAUAUUUUGCUUGUUCACCAACGCAGUUUGAAGUUCGAUCAAAUAAGUCUGCUGGUAAGAAGGUUGAGAUUAGGUUACCCAUUGUCGUUGACGAAAAGAGGAAGAGAAGCAAUGAGUACAAUGAAAAGAAUUAUGCUGCUUUGGAGAGGGUUAUAUUUGGAGAAGCACAAUACCGAAAUAAAAAUAUGAUACAUUUGUUGCUUUAUAAUUCAUAUGUCAAAUAUCGAGAACAUAAUGACACGUUUACACGUCAUAUAAAAUUUGUAAUUCAUUUCAGUAAUGACAGAAUUAAUAUUAAAUCUUAUCAUUUAUUAUUUAAGUGAUAAUUUAUAUUGAGAAUAUUUAUUUACAAUAAAAAUUUUGUGCCUUUACUUUGGAUGAAGAUCCAAAAUAUUAAGUCAAUGAUCGCUAGAUAAAAAAAUAAAAUAAAAUGAUUUUAACAUUAAUUUUUUAUUUAAUAAAAAAUAAAUUCAAUACAGAAUUCUAAUCCCUUAGAUUUACAAGUGCAAUCAAUGAUGAUGUAAAGAAUUAUUUUUUUUUUUGGUUCAAAUACUAAGAUAUGGAGAGACUAAAUCAUCUUUUUGACCCAAAUCUGACCUACCAAAUAACAAAAUAAAAUUAAAAUAUUAUUUAUUAUUUAUUGUUACUAUCAUCAUGACAAUCUAUUCCUGGCUUCGAUUUAUGGGUGGGUUUUGAUGGCCAUAUUGUAAAUGACGACAGAGAAAUUAGUUUUAUAAUCUGUUUGUGAUUGAGGUACUUUAAUUUUUAAGCUACAGUUACUGUUGUGUAAAAAUUUUUGUAAUUAUAAAAUAAAAAUUAAAAAUUUUAUAGUAAAUAUAUAUUUUAAAUAAUAAUUUUAUUAAAAUUAUUAAUGAUAUAAUAAAUUAAUAAUAUGUAAGUAAUUUGAGCGCUUUGGAAAAGAAAAUUACAAUUUGUUUAAAAUGUGAGCCACCCCAUUAUAAGAUCUAGGUGCAUGUUUAACUAUAAUGACAGCUCUAUUUAUCAUAAGAUCGUUGAUCUCCCAUACUAGCCAACCAAUUUAACUAUAAUGGCAGCUCUAUUAAUUAUAAGACCCUUGGUCUCCCAUACUAGCCAACCAAUCUCUUUUUCGCUAGACAAACUUUCAUUAAUCAAAGUAACAAUAUUUACUGAAUCAAGUUUAACAAUCAAGGGAGUUAAACCAAGUCAAUUGCCCGUCAUUUAUGUUAAACCCAAGUCAACUUCCAUUAUUUAUUUUUUUUUUUUGGUUCUAUAAAUGAGUUUGGGUUUGGUUUAUAUAUUUCUUAAGUGAUCCGUUUUGGUUGGUUUGGUCUGUGGCAGGACCAAUCUGAACCGAAUCAGUUAGGACGAACCCUUUUACUUGGGCACAGGUGUAGUGUUUGGUAAUUUUGGCAGUGAGCAAAGUUACGAGUGGUGCUAUACUGCUAUGGGCUAUGGCUCAAUUGGGUUACAUAUAUGCAUCAUUAUUGAGUCUCAAAAUUCAGUAGCUAAAUAAAAGGCAGUGAGAGUGAGGCCGAGUGGCGGGUAAAUCCAAUCUAAAAGGGAAAGUAUUUUGUCUCUCUAAUCUCUCUCUAUCCACCACCCAAUUAUUCUCUUAAAACGGCAAAAGAAAGCAGCAACUCAACUCUCUUUAAAGGCUAUGGAGGUUCUCUUGCGACCUCUCUUCAGCAUACCCUCCAGAACAUUAACCCCACCACCGCCAUCACCACCCCCACCAAUCAUCUCACUCUCAAAACUCUCCAUUUUUGCCUCCACUAAUUCCCACUCUCUCCAAAACCCUUCUUUCUGUUGGGGAAAAAUUAGGUUUUUAAAUUUUUAUAAAACCUUUUGAAGAUCGCUCUCAUAUAAUAUAUAAGAAUUUGUAUUCUAGAAAUCGUACCUUGAAAAACCGAGUUGGCUUUUUCCGCUGAAGUGAUUUAGGCUCCUAGAUCACGAUCCGCCACCACCACUCCUGUUAGAUCACGAUCUGUCACCACCACGCUUGUUAGAUCACGAUCUGUCACCACCACGCUUGUUAGAUCACGAUCUGUCAUCAAUGAUCUUCCAGGUUAUGACUCAGGUUCGAUCUGCACUUGACGUGUGGGCGCCUUUAUCACUACAAAAGCAACUAGCACGAGAAAAUUUUUCUCUCAACAAUAGAGAGAAAAAUCUUAUUCUCUGAUCUGUAUAAAGUGGCUUUUCUUUUUCUUUUAAGAAAAUAAGCCUUAUAUAUCUCCCUUUAGUGAAAACCCUAGGCUCCAAAUAAUGCCAUAAAUAAAACUCACGUUACAUUUCAUUUAAUAGGGGACCCACCAUGUAAAAUAACAUAAGGCCCCUUACACAUAAGCUAAUUAAAUAGAGCCUCCCACUAAAUGAUAUAUUUAGGCUUUUGACCCAAAUAGCUAGUUAUCUUGCUUAUUAGUCCAGUAGUGGUGCAGUCAAUUAAAUGAGCUAACCCGGGGAUCAUUUGGGAACAUACAAUAGUGGCUAUAACAAUUAGGUCUGUAAUUAAACUAGCCUAAUUAUUUAAUUCCAAAUCUACUCCACUAAAAGAUUGGAACUGACUUCCAUAAUUGUAUGCACGAAUAAUAAUUCGUCCCAAGCCACAUUGAUUUCUUUACUGCACAAUCCUUUGUACCACAUCGUUAAUUAAAUUGAUAUCUCAACUGUCCAAUCAAUUUAAUAACAUCUUAUUCCUUGAUCCUUACUGGUUUUCUCUAAUGAUCAUUUUCAACAUACUAAAUAGUUGACACACUCUGGCCAGAGAAUUCUAUGAUCAAGUACCGAAAACCUAUCAAGAGAUGUGUUGUACAAAUUCUAUAUUGUUAAUUCAUAACUCCAAUACUCAUAAUUGCUCCCACUAAGAUACCGGGUAAUCUUGACCACAAGGAUGUGUCGUGCCCAUUGGUAACUCAAAUGAAAUAACAAUUACAAUCAUGAAAUCAUAAUUAACUCAAGAUUAAGAUUACAGUAAAAUCAACGCCUAUGAGAUUUAAUAAGUCUGACAGUUAUUACAAAGUUAAUUAAAUCUCAUAUGUGAUCCUGUUCAAUGUAGUCGUACUACAUCAAUAAAUUCAUACAUGAUUAAGACAAAUCAUUCAAUGAAUUUAUUACAGUCUAUACCUAAAUAAAGUGCCCAACUUUAUUUAUCAACUGCGAACUAAAUUUAUUUAAUCAUAAGAUAACUUGUAUUUAUGUCUUCUGUGAAUCCACAUGGUGAUCACAUAAAUACAUAUAAUAUGAUUAAAUGGACUUUAAUACAAAUAUUAAUGCAAUUAAGAUAUUUGAAUAAAAUACCUCAUUUAUUUUAUUAAUCAGAAAAAUUGUUUAUUACAAUUAAACAUACCUCAUAAAAUACCUCUCCCACUAGCUCUCAAAGCAUAUCUGGCAUAUUGCACAUGCUCUAGGGCUCUAAGUGCAGGUUAUAAAGGUUUCCCACUAAUGGCCAUUGUAAUAAGAUCUGCCAUUUAGCAUCUAAUGCCAUUUGGGGUACUGUCAUAUAACCUUUCUACACUAUUCCCUUAUAAAAUGAUACUUCCUGUCAGUAUGUUUUGUUUCUUUUGGUUCCUUAGAUUGAGCUACUGCACCACCAUUAUCACAAAAUAGUUUAAGGGGUGCAGUUACAGCAGGCACCACCUCAAGAUCUUGUAGGAACUUGCGGAGCCUAUAUAGCUUCUUUUGCAGCUUCAGAUGUAGCCACAUAUUCAGCUUCAGUUGUGGAGUCUGUGAUACAAGAUUGUUUCACACUCAUCCAACUAAUAGCUCCACUUUCUAAUGUAAACACAUAGCCGGAAGUUGAUUUUCUAAAAUCCUUAUCUGACAAAAAAUCAGAAUUAGUAUAACCCACUAGAAUAAGUUCAUCACCAGAAUACACAAGCAUAUAAUUUUUAGUUCUUUUCAGAUACUUUAUAAUAUGUUUGACUGCAGUCCAGUAUUGAGGUCCAGGAUUAAAUUUAUAUCUGCUAACCAUCCCUACCGCAAAAUAGAUGUCUGGCGUAGUGCAAAGCAUGACAUACAUGAGACUUCCCACAGCUUCUGCAUAGGGAACUCGUCUCAUUCUCUUUAUCUCUUCAGAUGUUUUAGGUGAUUGAUCCUUAGAGAAUGUAAUUCCAUGUCUGAAUGGUAAUAAACCAGUCUUGGAAUUUUCCAUGCUAAAUCUAGCCAAUAUCUUAUCGAUAUAGACCGCUUGAGACAAGGCUGAAGUUUUAUUCUUCCGGUCUCGUAGUAACUUGAUACCAAAAAUAUAACUUAUCUCUCCCAGGUCUUUCAUAUCAAAUUGUUUUGCUAACCCGAUCUUUAUUAUAGUCAAUACUCCUAUAUCGUUUCCAAUCAGGAGAAUAUUGUCUACACAAAGAACUAGGAAGGCUAUAAAUUUUCCCUGAAUUUUCUUGUACACACAUGGUUCAUCAAUGUUCUGAAUGAAUCCAAGUGAUUUAAUCGCUUGAUCAAAUCUGAUGUUCCAUGACCGGGAUGCUUGCUUCAAUCCAUAAAUGGAUCUCUGCAACUUACAUACCAUGUGUUCUUGGCCUUUUUUGUAUAAAUCCAUCUGGUUGCUGCAUGUAGAUGUUUUCUUCAAGAUGCCUGUUAAGAAAGGCAGUCUUGACAUCCAUUUGCCAAAUUUCAUAAUCUAGCACUGCAGCAAUGGAAAGCAGAAUCCUGAUGGAUUUAAGCAUAGCAACCGGAGAAAAGGUUUCCUCAUAAUUGAUUCAUUCUUUCUGAGUAAACCCUUCGGCUACUAAUCUUGCUUUAAAUAUUUCCACCCUUCCGUCUACUCCUCUUUUUCUCUUGUAGAUCCACUUGCACCCUAUAGGUUUUACCUCAUUUGGUGCCUCUACAAGUUCCCAGACUUUAUUGGAAUACAUAGAUUCCAUUUCUUGAUUCAUGGCCUUUUUUAAAAUUCAACAUCUCUAUCUAUUAGAGCUUCGUUGUAACUAGUGGGAUCUUAUACAUGUUCAUCUGAGAUAGCCGUAUAGGUUUCUCCCAAAAGCAUGUAUCUCGCAGGUAACCUAAUUACCCUCCCACUACGACGAGGUUCUAAAAGUGAUGGUUGUUCAAGGAUAAUCUUGUGCUGAUCAGCUGGUUGUUGCUGUUCUUCCUGUUCUAUAACAGGUGUUGAAAGCUUAGCAUCAACCUGAUCUCUUUUAUUUCUCUAGUUUUACCUUACUCUUAGGUUAUAAGUCAUUAUAUAGUCUUCCUCAAAGAAAGUAAAUAAUAUUUCUAUAAAUACAUUCUUAUCUUGAGGACUAUAAUUCAGACUUUCCCUUAUUCCUUUAAGAUACCUAAAACAUGCAAGCUUCUGAACACGAAUCCAUCUUCUCUAUCUCUGAUUCUAGUAGAAAUACUAGUAAACUCCAAAUACGAAUGUGUCUCAAACCAUGUUUGUGACUUUUUUAUAAUUUCUUGGAGUAGUAGACACCGAGAUAGAUGAAACUAAGUUCAACAAAACUUUGUAGUUUCAAAUACUAGUAUCUGGAAUCAAAAAGGUAAAUGAUAAACCACUUAGUAUAUAUAUUGUCUUAUCCAAAAGAAUCUUGUUUCUCCAUUUAAUUACACUAUUGUAUCAUAGUGUUCAUUGAUAACCAAAUAGUGCUUGAAUUCUCCAUAGAUAUAUUCUUUGUUUCGAUCAUAUCAAAGUUCUUUUAUGUUCCUGUCUAAUUGCUUCUGUCUUAUCCACAUACUCUUUUGAAUUUCAAAAGCAAUUGAAUCAUGACGCAUUUAGACAAACAUAAAUAAAAUGAAUAUUCAUCAACAAGAUUGAUAGAAUACUCAUAACCUCUUAUAACAUGUAAACUGAUUAGUCCAUAUACAUUUGUAUGCGCUAAAUCAUCAAAUACAAUGUUAUGCUUUUAGCUCAAAAAAGAGCAUCAUUGUCAUAUUACUUUUCUAAAUAAGAUUUAUAGAGUUACAAUGAUCAAUCUUAAUAGGCCAACAAGUCUAUCAUUAAUCAUUUUCUUAAAAUUUUAUUAUAGUUUAUAUGACUUAAGCAUAAAUAUCAGAGGUGAUUUUUGGUUAGAAGAAACAUUUCUUUUCUUAGAUAAAUGCAUAUACUUUUUAUCAUUAUAUCUUACUUUGAAUAGAUCAAUGUACUUCUAUGAUAUAAAUUGUAUUUAUAAAUAACCAAAAUAAGUAAUAAACAGAGGAUCCAUAAAUAACGGUGUACUCCUGUUUAUUAAAACAAGCCACUGAAAUUAAAUUCCUCUAAUAUUUGGAAAAAUAAAGACAAAUAUCAAAACUAAAGUCUUGUAAAAUUGAUCUAGUCUUUCAAUUGAUAUAAACUAACACGUCCUCAACUGCUGUUUGAAGCUUUCUUCACUUAAUCUCUUGGUUUCCUGAAACCAAAUAAAUGAAUUACAAAUAAGAUUAGUUAUCUCAGAAUUCAUUAUUGUAUGAAUCAAUAGAAAUAUGAACGAAUUAGGAAGCUUAAAGAUUUCCUAUACCUGAUUUUAAUAAUCUUAGGACAAUCUUUCUUCCAGUGACCCGUCUGUCCACAUUUGUAACACUUGCCUUUUGGCUUGCCAUUUCUUUUAGUGGACAGUUUGCCGAUCCCAACUCUUGCUUGCUCAUUCUUGUCUUUCGACUUAAGCCUUGAAGAGAAUCCUUUUUCAGGAAGUUUUCUGCUAUUAUAAAAUUCUUCUAUAGCAUGUAGUUCGUGCAUUAAUUCAAUUACCGUCAUAUCUUUAUUGUUUAAGAUAUAACUGACCUUAAACUCUUUGAAUGUAUCAGGUAAAGAUUCAAUCACCAUGUUAAUCUUUGAUUUAUCAUUGAUUUGAACACCAUGAAUCUCUACCUCAUUCAAAUAGUCCAUCAUUUUGAGGACAUGAUCACGAACUUUUGUGCCCUCUUCCAUCUUAGUAUCCGUAAUACGUUUUAAUACUGCUUCUCUGGCAAAAUGGGUAUUUUGCCCAAACAUCUGAUGAAGACUAGCCAUAAUUUCAGUGGCUGUUUCCAUGCUCCGAUGUUUCUUAUGCAGUUCCACAGAAAUCGAAGCCAAUAUAUAGCGCUUAGCCAUUUUGUUAGCUUCGCACCAUUUCUCAUAAGGCUCCCUCUGAUUUCUAUAAUCGUAUAACGAUGGUUCAGGAGGGCAAAGCUGGGUCAACACAUAUUUGUUUCCCUUAGCAGUGAGAAUAUUAAAUAGAUUGUGUUUCCAAUCUAAAUAAUUUUCGCCAGUGAGUUCAUUUUUAACAAGGAUAAUUAAUAAUGGGUUGAUGGAAGACAUUUUCUGAAAAAACAAAAUACACAUGCAUAAAUACUUUGAAACAAUAUUCACAAUAAAUGACAAAAAUACAAAAAAUCAUAAAUGCAUUUUAAUUUAUUGUAACGAUAAUCUAGUACCGCUUUGACAAGCUAUCCGUUGGGGAAGUCAUGUCUACACUUACUAGACCCAAUUAUCCAUUAGAUUAUUUACUUUCAUGUAGAGACAUGAUAAAUAAUUAUCGUUAUCCCUUUGGGCCUAAAUUUGUUAACAGAGCUUCGUUGGGAAGGUUAAUAACAAACUUUAGUUGAGUGUAUAACCAUUGUUUCAAUCUACGUAUUUUUCAUAUCAAUAGUCACCGUUGGGGUGAAAAAUCGAUUGAAAAAUAUUUCGAUUUUAUCUUUGAAGAAGUUCAUCAAAUAAAAUAUCUAAUAUAUAUACCCUCCGAAGGGAGCAUCACCGUAUCAUGAAGUCGAGGUAUAUAUAUAAUUUUAUUAUUGAACUAACAAUGGAGCCCGUGGGAAAAAUUAUCUUGAAUUUUCCCUCUCCCACUCAAUAUUAUAAAAUUGGUUUUUCCUUUUAAAAUAUACAUAUUGUUAAUUGCAUGCUUCCUAUAACAUUAUCUAGAUGAUGUCCAAUAUUAUUAAGCAUAGGCAAAUUUCAAACAAUAUAAUGAAAUUCAUAAUUAAUGAAUGACAUGUAUCAUUAUGCAUAGAGUGGCACUACCUAUUUUAUAUGACAUGUUAUCAUGGCAUGUUAUCAUCCAAAACAUAACAUAUAGAAAAAAACAAUUAAAUAAUCUUAAUUCAUGGCUUUCCUAAUAAUGAAAAAAUACAUUAACCCUAAGCCUAAUCUUCAUUGGGCUUCUUGUAAAUGUCCAUCUUCCAUAAUCUUGUUUUUGUUAAUGGACUAGGAGAAAUUGGGCUUUUAAAUUUAUAAUUGGUCUAAUUUUAAUUUGGAAAGAAAAUAAAUAAAUAAUUAAAAUAAAAAUUUAUUAAAAUAAAACUUUUGGACCAAAAAUAAAUUUAAUGUAUUCAAUUUUAUCUAUGCAUUUUAAUCCAUUAAGCCUAAUUGAAAUUGGGCCUAAAACUAGGAUACAUUAAGCCCAAAACUAUUUUUGGAUUUAAACGCAAAAAAUUGAAACAUUUCUGCCCGAAGGAAAACUUAUGAAACCAUAGGGACCUUCAUGAUAAAAACCAUGAAACCCUAAAAUCAUAUUUUUCUUUCUUUCUUCUUCCCUAGCCGCCAUCUCCACAAAGCAGUCACUGUUCAUCCAAGUCCGACACUGAUUUAGCUGCCGCCGUCAAGCCGGAAACGUACCAAACACCUCCCUCGCGCUGCACGGAAAGCUCCUGCUCGCGCUGCCUGCUGCGUGUGCUGGCUGUUGCACGCGAGCGUGCGCUAGCUGCUGCACGCACAUCGUGCGUUGCUGGCUGCGCGAGCAGCACGCGCUGGCUGCUGGCUUGCAGCGCGCGCUGCGGGCAGCGUGUGCUGUGAGCCGCGCGCUGCUGCCGCUGCGCGUGCAGCGCGCGCUUGCUGGCAGCAUGUGCUGCUGGACGCGCGCUGCUUGCUGCUUGUUGCCGCUGUCAAAAUUUCCGGCCUCCGUCGCUUUGAUCUUGAAAAUCCGAGAUUAAUUUAUAAAUUUCCUAGGCCAAUUUUUGGCUUACAAAAAUUCUAUAACAGUAAAAUAAAUCAAGAGGGAAACAUGAUGAUAAAAAAUCACCCCUCUUGUUACAGAUCCAAAGAAAAAAUACAACGGAAAAAUCUAACCAUGAAUUAAGACAAACCAUAAGCAUGCUUUAUUCAUAUAUUAAAUAAAUAAUAUACAUCUGAAUAAAUUGUGCCACUCUAAUACAUAAAUUUCAAGAAUGAUUUCAUACGAAAUUCUUAUAUAUUAAUAUGAGAUGUCUCUGAUACCAAUUGUUGGGGAAAAAUUAGGUUUUUAAAUUUUUAUAAAACCUUUUGAAGAUCGCUCUCAUAUAAUAUAUAAGAAUUUGUAUUCUAGAAAUCGUACCUUGAAAAACCGAGUUGGCUUUUUUCCGCUGAAGUGAUUUAGGCUCCUAGAUCACGAUCCGCCACCACCACUCCUAUUAGAUCACGAUCUGUCACCACCACGCUUGUUAGAUCACGAUAUGUCACCAAUGAUCUUCUAGGUUAUGACUCAGGUUCGAUUUGCACUUGACGUGUGGGCGCCUUUAUCACUACCAAAGCAACUAGCACGAGAACAUUUUUCUCUCAACAAUAGAGAGAAAAAUCUUAUUCUCUGAUCUGUAUAAAGUGGCUUUUCUUUUUCUUUUAAGAAAAUAAGCCUUAUAUAUCUCCCUUUAGUGAAAACCCUAGGCUUCAAAUAAUGCCAUAAAUAAAAACUCCCGUACUUUUCAUUUAAUAGGGGACCCACCAUGUAAAAUAACAUAAGGCCCCUUACACAUAAGCUAAUUAAAUGGAGCCUCCCACUAAAUGAUAUAUUUAGGCUUUUGACCUAAAUAACUAGUUAUCUUCCUUAUUAGUCCAGUAGUGGUGCAGUCAAUUAAAUGAGCUAACCCGGGGAUCAUUUGGGAACAUACAAUAGUGGCUAUAACAAUUAGGUCUGUAAUUAAACUAGCAUAAUUAUUUAAUUCCAAAUCUACUCCACUAAAAGAUUGGAACUGACUUCCAUAAUUGUAUGCUCGAAUAAUAAUUCGUCCCAAGCCACAUUAAUUUCUUUACUGCACAAUCCUUUGUACCACAUCGUUAAUUAAAUUGAUAUCUCAACUGUCUAAUCAAUUUAAUAACAUCUUAUUCCUUGAUCCUUACUGGUUUUCUCUAAUGAUCAUUUUCAACAUACUAAAUAGUUGACACACUCUGGCCAGAGAAUUCUAUGAUCAAGUACCGAAAACCUAUCAAGAGAUGUGUUGUAAAAAUUCUAUAUUGUUAAUCCAUAACUCCAAUACUCAUAAUUGCUCCCACCAAGAUACCGGGUAAUCUUGACCACAAGGAUGUGUCGUGCCCAUUGGUAACUCAAAUGAAAUAACAAUUACAAUCAUGAAAUCAUAAUUAACUCAAGAUUAAGAUUACAGUUAAAAUCAACGCCUAUGAGAUUUAAUAAGUCUGACAGUUAUUACAAAGUUAAUUAAAUCUCAUAUGUGAUCCUGUUCAAUGUAGUCGUACUACAUCAAUAAAUUCAUACAUGAUUAAGGACAAAUCAUUCAAUGAAUUUAUUACAGUCUAUACCUAAAUAAAGUGCCCAACUUUAUAUUUAUCAACUGCAAACUAAAUUUAUUUAAUCAUAAGAUAACUUGUAUUUAUGUCUUCUGUGAAAUCCACAUGGUGAUCACAUAAAUACAUAUAAUAUGAUUAAAUGGACUUUAAUACAAAUAUUAAUGCAAUUAAGAUAUUUGAAUAAAAAUACCUCAUUUAUUUUAUUAAUCAGAAAAAAUUGUUUAUUACAAUUAAAUAAACACAUAUGCUUUUAAAGAGCAUAAUUUCCCAACAAUCUCCCACUAGCUCUCAAAGCAUAUCUGCAUAUUGCACAUGCUCUAGGGCUCUAAGUGCAGGUUAUAAAGGUUUCCCACUAAUGGCACUAAUCAGUUAGACAAGCAGCACAGGAGAGCCAAUCGACGCGCGGAGGUGAAUGCCGAUAGAAGAGAAUGGUUUAUGCAAGGUACAUUAAUAGUAAUUUGAUCUGAUGCCAAUUUUAUUUCUAUAUUAAUUUAUUAGAUUAUAUAAUGUUAUAAAUUCUUUGUUCAAAAUGUAGAGCUUGGAAAUUUA
rnacentral:lncRNA from 1 species